rnacentral:lncRNA from 1 species
UUUUCAGGAAACAAAUUUGAAGGAGAGAUCCCAAGGUCCAUUGGCCUAUUAAAAGAGCUUCUUGUGCUCAACUUGUCUAACAAUGCUUUCUCUGGCCACAUCCCUUCAUCUAUGGGAAACCUGACGGCUCUUGAGUCACUGGACGUUUCCCAAAACCAGCUUUCAGGAGAAAUACCGCAAGAGCUAGGGGAACUCUCAUUCCUUUCCUACAUGAACUUCUCUCAUAACAAGCUUACAGGUCUAGUACCAGGAGGCACUCAGUUUCUAAGGCUCAACUGCACUUCUUUUGAGGAUAAUCCGGGACUUUCUGGCCCUUCUCUUGAAGAAAUUUGCAGAGAUAUGCACACGCCAACACCGCAUGAAACGCUGGAAUCUGUUGAAGAAGAAGAGGAAGAGGUGUUGAGUUGGAUAGCAGCUGUCAUAGGAGUCAUACCUGGUAUUGCCUUUGGAUGGGUGAUUGGAUACAUACUUUUUUCCUACAAACCACAGUGGUUCAUGAACCCUUUUGCCCGAAACAAGCGCAGAAUCAGCAGCACCACAACUCAUUAAAAAGGUAAUUUUCCAGAGUUUUAAAUCAACUUGUUAGAAAACACUGGAAGAAACAAAAAUAUUAUAGUGAAAUCACCUGAGUUAACCUUUUCUUUUUUUUUGGUACAUGUCUUUUAUAAGCUACCUGAGGAAUCUGGAAGAAGAAAUCCAAAGGAACCACUAUGUCUAUCGUAUCAAAUAAGAUUUGGGGUAUCGUUUCUGGUUUAGCUUGGUGUUUUUCUCAUUACUCUGUUUUUACUCUCUCUUUUUUUUCUAGCAAACUUCUUUGUUCCUCUGGUAUUGUUUCUGUUUUAGCUUGGUGUGUUUUUUCUCUAUCUCUAUUUUUUUUUUACGUUUUAUUAAACUUCUUUGUUUCUCUGUAAUUGAACAACCAUGUUGCUUACGCUGAAAAUUACAAGCACCAGUCAAAGAUGUGUCGUCUUUUCCCCUCUUGUGAAUCUAAACAUCAACUGUUUAGACGUGAGAUGAGCAAUGAACAGAUGAUCCAGAUCAACGCUAUAAACCUUGCAGGGUUUUAGAAAAGGAUAUACAUAUUAUAUAUGGAUAUUUCGAUUUCUUAUAUCACUGAGACACAUAAAUUCAUAGAAACUAUAGAUUAAUAAUGACCAGAAAAAAGAUAUAUGCUCAACUUAAUUUGUUUUAACGAUCAUAUGAAAAUUCUUCUUUGAUCAGUGUGAAAUCUAUUUUAUAUUUUCUUUAACUGACUUUUACAUCUACUCUCAAGUCUUGCUUCUCUUUAAUUUGAUGUCCACAAUCUCAAAUAGAGACAUCAAUAGCUUGGUGGGUUUGAUCAGUUCCAAAAAGUGAAUUAUGGAAAGAACAUCUAUGAUGUCAAUAUGAAUGUCUCCAAAGAACCCCUUUAUGCAUUGUGUUAAAUCUGUUAAGGCAAUUCUGAGACCUGAUUACGCAAAAAGACUAACUGCAGAUCAUAAAAAAAAAAAAAAAAAGAGAAAUGAGACCACAGGCGUUGAUACAGAAACCAUAAUACAUUAAACACUUGACAAAAGUACAUGUUGAUAUGUCAGUCAGAUUACUACAAGAGUUUCUUUCCCCAAUCUCGAUCAGCUUCUCAGAACCAACGAGUGUUCCUUUGCUCUACCACAGUAUAGCUUCUCCACAAAUCUAAUCCCUACAACUUCUUCCCUGUACAACAGCACCACAAAAUUCAAGUUUCAGUAACUCAUCAUCAUAUAUGAUGAACAAAUAUAACAUUAACAAACAGAACCUGAAACCUCAGAAGCUUACCUAAAGUUUCAACAUGUUCAUCCGUUGCAACUCAAGCUCCUUUGCAGCUUCCAUCCUCUGCUUCUCCAACUCAACCAUCAUCCUCUGCUUCACACCUUCAAUCCUCUCGUACACCUCUCCCAACUUCAAAAUCGCUCUCGCCAGCUCCCUACAAGANNNNNNNNNNNNNNNNNNNNNNNNNNNNNNNNNNNNNNNNNNNNNNNNNNNNNNNNNNNNNCGACGACCCUUCGCCUCCACUCGGAUCCACAUCCUCCACUCUCCGAUGCUUCCUCACCACAAACCCCCAAUCUCCCACCUCAUCAUCAUCAUCCUCCUCCUCCAAAGAGCUCCCACUCGAUUUAGAUCCCGUCGGAUUCUUCAACGCCGGUCUCACAACUCCGGUGGAUUUCUUCGCCGCGACGGGACCGAUCAAGAAAUCGAGCCUCUCGAAGAAGCACCAAGACGACGGAGAAGGCUUACUUCUUCUCUCAUAACCAGCUUGUCGGUCUAGUACUGCACUUCCUUUGACGGUAAUCCGGGACUUUCUGGCCCUUCUCUUGAAGAAAUUUGCAGAGAUAUUCACAAGCCAGUCAGAGGAAGAAGAAGAGGAAGAGGUGUUGAGUUGGAUAGCAGUUGUAAUAGGAGUCAUACCUGGUUUUGCCUUUGGUUGGGUGAUUGGAUACAUAUUUGUUUCCCACAAGCCACAGAGGGAUUCAUGAAUCCUUUUGUCCGAAACAAACGCAGACGCAGCAGUACAACAACUCAUUAAAGAGGUAAUAUUCCAGAGUUUUAAAUCAACUUGUUAUUACCAAACAUUGGAAGAAACAAAAUUAUUAUAGUGAAAUCACCUGAAUAAACCUGACAAAUAUGGAAGACUGGGAUUGGGAAAAGAGUGGGACAGAGUUCUGUGAAGUUAAAUGGAGUGAAGACUGAAUGAAGAUGGAAAAACAUGGACAGUGCCCCUGAACUAACACAAAACAAGGGGUCGUGUCUACAUCAAUAGUGGUUGGAGAUGUUUUUGCCGCUCAAUUUGAAAAAGAGCCAACGUUUUAUUGGCUUUUAAUCUUGUGCAAACGCUCAUCAGAGCAAUCCAAAACAAACUCCAGAUUAAAGAAAUCUUCGGUAUCGUCUCAGAUAUCAUGCAGAUCUCCUCGGCGUUUGAAUCUAUCUCUUUCUCCUUUGUUCCACAAUCAGAAAACCAAAAGGCUGACUGUUUAGCCAAACGGGCUCUGAUCUCUUCUGUUUCUGCACUUGUUUGAACAUCUGGGUAUUGGGCUUUGUUUUCGGCCCUUUAUCUUUCCUUUGCUUUUAAUAUAAUCUCGUUGCACAAAAAAAAAAAAAAAAAAAUCUUGUGCAAACAGGUACAAACCCUGUUCUCCAGUUGUGUUCGUCCUACAACCGAAACUGUCUCCGAGCUUCUUCUUCAUCUUCAUCUUCAACAAGCCAAGAAAGAUUCUUGACACUGACUCCAACACCAUACACUCUCAAGAAGUCUAAUUUGGUAAGUUUUCAUCAAUACACCCAGCAUUGUAUCUGAGUUGUUUUAAUGUUUUGAAGUCUUUAUUAAGUCUACCGGGCAAGCUUGUGUGGUUGAAUGGUAGUGAGAAGGCAAGGACGAUAACUCUCGUGGACAGAUACGGUUUCAAAAGGUCAACGAGUCUUGAAGCUGAUAACAAAUCUGGAAGAAUGUGACUGGGAAAAGAGUGUAGAGCGUUCUGUGAAGCUAAUGGAGUGAAGGCUGGUGAGUCCUUUAAGCUAGAAUUCAUCAAAGAUGAAAAAUUCACAGCGACUCAACUACUUAAGCUAUGUUCUAAAGUCUUAAACUCUCUCUGAGUUCGUUUUGAUUAUGUAAUAUCUACGUACAGUGUGUAUUUUGAUUUUUGGCAGGCUUGUCAGGCAAGGCUGUAGUAACUUGGUAUGAGACGAACCUAGGCUAUGUUAAAUUGACUCUCCUUUGGAGAAUAGACCCUCAAAAAUACAUUGUCAUUCAGUAUAAUAUUUUUUUUUUUGAUCUAUAAUAACGUUUACAAAAACACCAAUGAAUACUAACUAACUUUUUACUCUGCCCCCUGAACGCUCAUCUUCUCAUAGUAGAGAGGCAAAUUUGAUUACAUCAUCCAGUGUAUCAAACAACUUACCAUCCAAAUCCAAACCAUUCUUUUGAUUGCUUUCUUUAUACGAAUUUGUGCUUUAGCUCAUGUUUUGUUCUUGGUUUUUCACUAAAUUAGCAGCUUAUAUGUAUUCUUCCUAUAAAGAACGUUCUCUCGGACUUUCUCUCAAGCAAGUACACGAGCAGGUCUACACGGUUGCGUGGCGUAACCUGAUAGACCCGUCUGUCAGUCUCAGUCUGCUUCGAAAUCAAUGAGGAGGGCAACUGGUGCAUAUAGUCUGCUUUCUGACUAUUAAAUAUGACCAGAGAAAUUUCCACACAUGAACUUAAUAUUGAUUAGGAAAGUUGUUUUGCUUUCGCUGUAAUGUAUAGUGAAUUUUUCUUUGUGUAAUAAAUAUACAGUUAAAUUAGCUUAAAGAAAAAUGAGAGGCUUUUGGAACUUAACGUGUACCAUUUCUCUUAUUCUUUCUAUAAUUUUCUUAUUCUGCUACAAUUAUGAGGACGUGUCUGCGGAUACUACUAGGCACUUGUGUCGUCCUGAUCAAAGGGAUGCACUUCUCCAUCUUCGAUUGGAAAUCUUUCUCAUCUCAUCUCACCUACCUUGACUUUUCUUCUACUCAAAUUUUGGGUCAGAUUCCAUCUUCUACUGGAAAUCUUUAUAAGCUCACUUAUCUUGACCUUUCUAACAACAAUAGCUAUGUUCUUUUGAUUAACGCAGCUUCUCGCGUCAGCGACUCCAAAUCUUAUGGUGGCUGCUUCGUGUGAAACGACGCGGACAAUGGUGAUGACAUAAAAAGUGUUGCCGUAAUAGUAAAAAAUAGUCGCCGCGUGAGUCGUAACUGACGCUACAAUUUUUAGCGAUCAAUUAUCAUCCCAAAACUAACGCUGCGUCUCUUAUAAUUAACUUCGGCAAAGUGGGUUUUCAGCAAUCUUGCUUUUAAAGUAACGGAAAUACAGAGCGAAAAAGAGACGCAGACGCUAACGCAGCGUUUAUCAAAAGAACAUGACUAUUGUUGGUGAUAUCCAAUCUUCUAUUGGCUAUCUAAACCAGCUGACCACCUUAAGUGUUUAUAAAAAUAAGCUCAAUGGAAGCUUGCCCAUUACACUACUGAAUCUGACAGAGUUGUCAUAUUUAGUACUCAGCGUCAAUCAGUUUACAGGAAUAGUUCCUCAUAACAUGUUACGUAUGAGGCUAGAAGGCCACCAAUACUGUACCAGUGCGAGAGGAGAAAGAAAGGCCCAGUUCAGAAAAAGUGACUAAGCACAAGAAGCAUCUAGAAGAAAUCAAUAAAAGAGGAGAAAGGAUGAAUCACAGCAACGGCCUUGGGCACGAGCACAUGGGUUGUCUGUGACGUGUCCCCUGCUUUUUCACUUUAUAAGUAGUAGUAAGGAAUAAUAGUUUGUGAUCGAGAGAGAGGAUCGAUCUGGUAGUGAUUGGAGAGAGAGUACUCCUGUCUAAAAACUCUAAAUCAUUGUAUUUGCUUGUUCUUUAAGGAGUCUUCAUAAAGUUCUUUACACGAUCGAGCUUUUACAAUACUAGUCGUAACAAACUUGGUAUCAGAGCAAGACGAACCUGAGGGCUUGUGAUGGGACCGAAGAAGAAUGACGACAAGGUAGCGGAGCAGAUCCAUCGCGAUGAUGACCGUAUCGUGGUGGUGGAGAGCAAGAUAUCUGCGGUGGAGGACCGAUUGAACGAGAUGAUGAAGUUCAUCGCCAGUGGGUUUGAGAGGAUCGAGCCGCGGAAGGAGGAUCAGACGGAGGGAAAGGAUCGGCGAGGAGAAGGGCUGAUACCCUCUGGUCUGACCUCCAACCCAGCCGGUGCUUCUAAACCUAUGGUGCUGCAAGGUGAAGGCUCGGGGAAGCAGAUCCUCGAAGAACCGAGAAGCAUCUCCGGAGUGAGGUCGACGGCGGCGUCAGGACCAGGAGCGGAUUCUGUCAACACCCAAACCUCAUACCGGAGUAUCUUGGGAGGCAAGGAAGAGUGGUUACCAAAGAGAUUGGAGAUCCCAACGUUUGACGGAGAAGAGCCGGAGAACUGGGUGUUACGUGUGGAACAUUAUUUUGAGUUGGGAGAUUUUACGGAGGAAGAAAAGUUGCGCGCCGUCAGGAUGUGUUUUAUCGGCGACGCGUUACCUUGGUACCGAUGGGAAAGGAGUCGGAAUCCGUUCCUGAGCUGGGAACAGAUGAAGACAAGGGUAUUGGAGCAGUUUUUGGCGGUGCGCGAUACGAGCGCCGGUGAGCAUAUCCUGUGUCCCCGACAGACCGGGACGGUGCGAAGCUUUCGCAGCGAGUUUAUCGCGUUAGCUUCCAACGCUCUGGGGAUUCCCGAUCCGAUCUUAGAGAUGGCUUUUAUGAACGGGUUGAAGCCUAAAAUAAAAGCGGGAGUGAGGAUGAUGAGUGUAAGAGGGUUAGAGAAGGUGAUGGACGCCGCGAAAUUGUUGGAGGACUGGUCCGAAGGAGGGGAGACGACGGAGGAGACGACAGAGACGUCGUCUAAGACUGGCCGUGUUACGAGUGGUUGUCAUCUAGCCCAAACAAAUAAACCGGCCCAAUCAACCGGUCAAAUCCCAAACCUUAACAAGGGAAGGCCCACUUUCAAUGGAACGACGGCGUCGAGCAAUACCCAGACGAAACCUAAUCACAAUCGAUUGAAACCAUCCUUUCGGCGGUUGACUCCGGCAGAGGUGGCGAAAUGGAAGGCGGAGGGGUUGUGUUACCGGUGCGACGAGAAGUACAUAUAUCCUCACCGUUGCGCCCAGCCCGAGGUGGUGGUCUUGAUGGUGCUGGAGGACGGAACAGAGAUAGAUGUGCUAAACUGUUCCGUCGAGUUAGAGGAAGAGGAGAUCGCAGAGGAAGUGGAAGUAGCAGCGAUUUCGAUCAGCUCCAUUGUGGGAAUCUCCUCAACUCAUACAAUCAAGCUCAAAGGAAAGUUGAUGGGAAGAGAAGUGGUGGUUUUGAUCGACAGCGGGGCCACCCACAAUUUCGUAUCGAAGGAGCUAGUGACACAGUUGAAGUUACAGACGGAUAGAACUCGCGGCUAUAGUGUGAUGACAGCCGGUGGAGUGACCUUCAAGGGAGCAGGGUUGUGUAGCGAGUUAGAGCUGGAGCUACAAGGUUGUACGAUCACCUCAAGUUUCCUACCAUUGGAAUUAGGAAGCGCUGAUGUCAUAUUAGGCAUUCAGUGGUUGGAAACACUCGGGAAUAUGAAGGUCAAUUGGAAGCUACAAAUUCUACGUUUCAAGGUGGGAUCGCAUAAGUAUGUCCUACAAGGAGAUCCCAGCCUCUGUUGUUCAGCGGCGUCUCUCAAAUCUAUUCUGAAGACGUUACAGCAGGACGGAGAGGUGAUGUUGAUUGAAUACAACGGGAUGCAGUUGGAGGGAGAAGAAUCCGGGAAAGCCUCUCAGAUUCCUCAGUCCUUACAAGACAUCUUGAAAGAGUUUACAGAGGUCUUUGAUGAACCUAGGGGGCUCCUUCCGUCAAGAGGAAAGGCGCACGCUAUUGAGUUGAAGAAGGAAGCAAGCCCCGUGAGCGUCAGGCCCUUUCGAUACCCUCAAGCUCAACGUGAGGAGAUUGAGAAACAAAUCGCAGCUAUACUCACUGCAGGGAUCAUCAGAGACAGUAACAGCCCAUUCUCGAGCCCUGUGCUGUUGGUGAAGAAGAAGGACGGAAGCUGGCGGUUCUGCGUUGAUUACCGCGCCCUUAACAAGGUCACCAUCGCAGACUGCUACCAUAUACCGAUGAUAGAUCAACUGCUGGAUGAGUUGCAAGGAGCAGUCGUCUUUUCGAAGUUGGAUUUGAAGUCAGGUUACCAUCAAAUUCUGGUGAAAGCGGAGGACGUGCAGAAGACAGCGUUCCGUACUCACGACGGCCACUAUGAGUUCCUAGUGUGCCGUUCGGACUGUCAAACGUACCAGCUACAUUCCAGUCGUUGAUGAAUGAGAUAUUCCGAAGCUAUUUAAGGAAAUUCGUCCUCGUCUUCUUUGACGACAUAUUAGUUUAUAGUAAGACAGAGAAGGAACACGCGGUGCAUCUCAGACUGGUGCUAGAGAAACUAAAGGCACAGAAGUUAUAUGCCAACCAAAAAAAGUGCGAAUUUGGGAGCUCUCGAAUAGAGUACUUGGGGCAUGUAAUCAGUAAGGAAGGAGUAGUAGCUGAUGAGGGGAAGAUUCAAGCCAUGACAAAUUGGACGACGCCAAGAACCGUGAAGGAGUUGCGCAGGUUCUUGGGUUUAACCGGGUACUAUCGGAAGUUUGUACAAAGCUAUGGAGAGAUUGCAAGACCUUUAACAUCAUUUCUCCGCAAGGACCAGUUCAGAUGGUCUGAAGGAGCGACGGGUGCUUUCCAACAGCUGAAGAGAGCCAUGACAACGGUACCGGUGCUUGCCUUGCCUGAUUUCAAGGAGCAGUUUGUAGUGGAAUCAGAUGCAUCGGGAGUGGGAUUGGGAGCGGUCUUGAUGCAGAAGCAGCGACCCAUCACGUACUUCAGUCAAGCACUGACAGAGAAGCAACAGCUGAAGUCAGUAUAUGAGAGGGAGUUAAUGGCUAUAGUCUUUGCCAUACAGAAGUGGGCGACAUUACUUACUCGGAAGAAAGUUUCUAGUAAGAACGGACCAGAAGAGUCUCAAGUUUUUAUUGGAGCAACGUGAAAUCAACAUGGAGUAUCAGAAAUGGCUGACGAAGAUUCUUGGUUUCGACUUCGACAUUCAUUACAAGCCCGGACUCGAGAAUAAAGCCGCAGACGGCCUUUCUCGAAAAAGUGCAAUACUAGAGUUAUUUGCAGUAUCGGUUCCAGUAUCUAUUCAGUUGGAGGAACUAGGUUCUGAGGUGGGGAGGGAUGAAGAGUUGUCUAAGAUAAUGGAAGACCUGUCUCGAGAUCUGAAUUCACAUCCUAACUACUCUAUGGUACAAGGGAGACUGCUGAGACAGGGGAAGCUUGUACUACCUAAGACGUCUCAGUUGAUUGGAGUUAUCUUGAAAGAAUACCACGACAGCAAGUAUGGGGGGCAUGGCGGAGUAUUAAAGACACAAAAACGCAUUGGAGCUUUGUUCUAUUGGCAGGGCAUGAUGACUGACAUCAGGAAGUAUGUGGCGUCAUGUCAGACUUGCCAACGACAGAAGUACUCCACGUUGGCACCGGGGGGGGGGGGGGGNNNNNNNNNNNNNNNNNNNNNNNNNNNNNNNNNNNNNNNNNNNNNNNNNNGGGGGGGGGGGGGGGGGGGGUCUCCUCCAGCCUCUACUGAUACCGUCCAACGUGUGGGAAGACAUUUCGCUUGAUUUCAUUGAGGGGCUGCCUAAGUCGGGAGGAGUCAACACUGUUCUCGUGGUGAUAGACCGUCUUACAAAGUAUGCUCACUUUGUGGGUCUCAGGCAUCCGUUCACUGCUGUUGAUGUGGCUAUGGUCUUCAUGCAGGAGAUAGUCAGACUACACGGGUUCCCUAAGACCAUAGUGUCAGAUCGUGACAGGAUAUUCACAGGGCAGUUUUGGAAGGAGCUGUUCCGUUUAGCAGGGACCAGUCUAUGCUUUUCAACGGCUUACCACCCACAGUCUGACGGACAGACCGAGGUUACCAAUAGGGGAUUAGAAACAUAUCUACGUUGCUUUGCGGGAGAGAAACCACGAACGUGGGCAAGCUACUUGCAGUGGGCGGAGUUUAGCUACAACACGUCGUUCCACUCUGCUAUUAAUAUGUCACCGUUCCAAGGCUUGUAUGGUAGAGAGCCACCUUCGCUGUUACAGUACGAGAAUGGCUCUACCAACAAUGCUGAGUUGGAAGCACGGCUGCAGGAGCGUGACGACAAUUUGGCAUUGCUUCGCCAACAGUUGUUGAAAGCUCAACAAACUAUGAAGGCAAGAGCAGAUGAGCACAGGAGGGAGGUGGAAUUUCAAGUAGGGGAUAAGGUCUUUGUGAAACUCAGGCCUUACAGAGAGAAGACGUUGGCUAAGAGAAUUAAUGAGAAGCUAUCGGCUCGCUUCUAUGGGCCGUACGAGAUAGAGAGACGCAUGGGGAAGGUGGCGUAUAAACUACGGUUACCAGCAGAGGCCCGCAUUUAUCCCACUGUUCAUGUUUCACAGCUAAAGAAAGCGGUGGGUGAGUCCUUCGAGUCAGUGACCCUGCCAUCACAGCUCACCGCUGACGGGGUAUUGGAGGUAGUUCCAGAGGCCGUGCGAGCUCACAGGUUCAACACCACGACAGGCCACGAAGAGUUGUUGAUCAAAUGGGUCGGGUUGACAGAAGCUGACUGCACGUGGGAAUGGAAGAGUAUGAUUGAGAAGCAGUUUCCAGAGCUUGACCUUGAGGACAAGAUCAGUUUCAAUGGAGGGAGUAAUGUUACGUAUGAGGCUAGAAGGCCACCAAUACUGUACCAGUACGAGAGGAGAAAGAAAGGCCCAGUUCAGAAAGAGUGACUAAGCACAAGAAGCAUCAAGAAGAAAUCAAUAAAAGAGGAGGAAGGAUGAAUCACAGCAACCGCCUUGGGCACGAGCACAUGGGUUGUCUGUGACGUGUCCCCUGCUUUUUCACUUUAUAAGUAGUAGUAAGGAAUAAUAGUUUGUGAUUGAGAGAGAGGAUCGAUCUGGUAGUGAUUGGAGAGAGAGUACUCCUGUGUAAAAACUCUAAAUCAUUGUAUUUGCUUGUUCUUUAAGGAAUCUUCAUAAAGUUCUUUACACGAUCGAGCUUUUACAAUACUAGUCGUAACAUAUCAUCACUUCACUAUCCAAAUUGAGAAUUUUCGAUGCAAGUAACAAUGCUUUCACUGGAACCCUGCCUUCUUCUCUCUUCACAAUUCCUUCUAUUGAUUACGUUAAUUUGUCUAAUAACCAACUCAACGGUAUUCUUGAGCUUGGGAAUAUAUCUUCACCAUCUAAGCUACAAGUGUUAAACGUUGGCAGAAACAACUUCACAGGGCCAAUUCCAAGCACGAUAUCCAAAUUUACCAACCUCGUACGGCUUGACCUUUUCCAUUACAAGCCACAAGGUCCAGUUGAUUUCAGUAUCUUCUCACAGCUCAAGCGGUCGAAUAUCUUGAUCUAUCCUAUUUGAACACGACCACCACUAUAGACCUGAGUGAUAUAUUGUCAUAUUUUAAGAGGCUCCGUCUGUUGUUUUUCUCAGGCAACCAUGUCUCAGCCACAAACAAGAGUCCAGUUUCAGUUCCCCCUUUGCUGUAUGAGUUGCACUUGUCAGGCUGCGGUAUCAACGAGUUUCCGGAGUGGAGUUCGCAAGAAACAAACAUAUGUCGGUUCUAAACAUUUCCAACAAUAAAAUCAAAGGUCAAGUGCCUGGCUGGUUAUGGAGGCUACCAGAUCUGACUUACCUGAAUCUUUCCAACAACAGUUUCAAGAGUGUCUACAUUGCGCAUAUCUUCUUCCUGAUCCACCACUUUUUUAUCUGAUUUUAUUUGCAAUCAGAUUCCAGUUUUUGAAACUGUUUUUUUUUUGUCAAAUAAGUGAGUUCACAUUAAAGGAGAAAGAUUUGUAAGUUACAAAAUGUUGUAGCUAUUAAGGAUUUCCUUGGCAAAAAAAAAGAUAAUAAAAGGAAAGCCCAUAGUUGAAUGAAAAAUAGUUAGAGAAGCCAUUCAUGUCGUAACCAAAUUUGAUGAGAUACAUGAAUGGUAUCCUCUUUCUUUUGCCUAGGAUGAUGUCACCUACAGUCAUGUCAAUAAUUUUGAAGACCAUCGUUGUUAGCGCUUGUUUCUUUUGGUCCAAAUAUUACAAAUUGUAGCAUGUGUAGCAAUGCGCUUAAGGGUUCGGGAGCAUGAGUCCUUCAAUGAAAGCCAAUCAGGGAAAGCAUUCCAGAUUUCUCAGAGACCUAUGAUGAGAAUCCCAACGUUUGUAACCUAUCCUUUGAAGAACCAAAUCCCAUAUUUCUCAGAGACGUAAAUUGGAGACGAUAAUUAGCGAUUUAAGUGAAUCAUUGCAAGUGUUUGGUGAACAGUUACAACUUCUUAAAUGAAAAAUUGCAAUUGUUGGUGAAUGUAAUUAUAGUGAUGAACCAUUGCAUUUCUUGGUAGUUGUAGUUUUUUGGUGAUAAAUCAUUGCAAUUUUGGUGUAAACCAACCAUUGCAAUCCUUAAUCCUCUAUAUAAAGAGUUAUGGACAUUGACAAAGCAUAUCAAUCACAAAUAGACUAGAAAAAUGAGAGAUUCAUAGUCAAAAGAUCAUCAAAAGUAAUGAUAUGCUUUUAUGUGUCUUUUUCAUUUAAAAUAUUUUUUUACUGAUAUGUUUUUGGUUAUUUUCUCACUUUCACUUAUAUUAUACUUUUUUAAAAUCUAUGGAAAGUUUAUGGAUAUGUUUUUCUCUCUUUUGUGACACAUAAACUUCUUUGAAAACAAAAAUAAGAUACUUUAUAUAAAAUAUCAUAAAUUAUACAAGUGGCAAAUAUUUUUUAAAAUAAAAGUAGUUAACAAUAAUAACCUAAAACAUGCAUACAAAUUUCAAUAUGUGUGCAUUUACCAAUUGAUUAUAUUCUUUUAGUUGCGGUCUAUUUUUUAUGUAACAAUUGAAUAGUUUAUGAGUAUUUAUUUUCAUAAUUCUCAAUUUUAUCUCUAUUUGAUCAAAUUUUAUUUUAUUUUACAUGCAAAAGAUGAAUUUAUUCAAGGAUUUUUCUGUUGAAUAGAUGCAUCCUUUAAAAUACUUAAAAUGUUGUAAAAAUGUAUCCUUUCAGAAAAUUAAUAUUUUUAUAUUUAAAUUAUAUUUCAGAUAAAAGUUGAUCUGUUUAUAUGGGUGUAUCUUUGCCUUUUGAUUAAAUGAAUUGAAAUAUGUUUUAGACUCAUUGAUAAAGACAUAUUUAAAAUAAAUAGAUUUGCAUAUAUUAACAUAUUAUAAAAACAUAAAAUUUGAAAGAUGAUGAAAUUAUGUUUUAAAAAUCAUAUUUUUUUGUUCAUACCUUUUGAAAACGAUACAAAUGGAAAUAAAUAAAUAUAUAUUAAUUAUGAAAUAUUGAUACAAAAAAACUUGGAAAUAAAUAAUGUAAAUACUUUAAAGACUCAACAUAAUUGAAUAUAUUUUUAGGACCAAAAUAAGUUGAAUAAUUUUUAUACAUUUAUAAUAUUUUCUAGUACAGUAGUAAAUAUUUAUUUUUAUAAAAUGAGUUUCCGUGGGACAUCGCAUGGAUUCCUUACCUAGUAUACACAGUAACAGACUGUGUAUUUAUUCCACAAAGAAAAAUCCACGGAGAAAAAUCCAUGGUGAAAAAUCAAAUAUUCAUCACAUAACCAGGACGAGUUAGUUUGGUGGUAAACGGUUUGCGGCUGCAAGUACGGUCCCGGGUUCAACUCGCACUGGCCACCAGGAAAUUUACAUGCGGACUUGCUCUGGCGCCCGAGACCGAAGACCGUUGCCUGGCCAUGACCCACCCUCGGGUGUGCGUCCGCGCCGCUAAAGGUUCGGUCUCUAGUCGGACCACCACGGUGGGGCUAGGACACUCGGUUAUAAAAAAAAAAAAAAAAAAAAUUCAUCACAUCGGCAGCAAUAUCUUUGUGUCGAAUAGGGGCCCCCGGUUAAAAAAAAAAAAAAAAAAAAAAAUUCAUCACAUCGGCAGCAAUAUCUUUGUGUCGAAUAGUCAAGUUUCCACACAUAUUGGUCCCCUACACUAAUAAUUAAAUGAAUUUUCAAAAAAUAAUUGUCCACACGACCAAACCAAAUAAAAGUAUUUACGAAGUCUUUUGGAUUAAACUAAUUAACGUUUACGAGACCCAUGCAUAUAAUGUAGUCUUUCGUUGUGAUUUUUUUUGUGUGGACGAGUCUUUUUGCUGGACAGUUUUGGUAACACCUAAAUAGGACCAUGUCCAAAUUAGACCAUACCCAAAAAAGAUUAUGAUCAGUUGGGUUGUCCAUGAGGUCCAGACGCUCAUUUAGUAUAAAUAAGUUAAUUUUUAUUGUAAAAGAUGGAAAUAUACUAAAUUUCGUAUAUAUUAUAGACUUAAACUUUAUUAUUUUGCAAUUUAAAUUUUUACGAGAAAAUUUGAUUUUGAGAUUUUUGUGAUUUUGAUGAAAAAUAUGACUUUCAGUUUCCAUAAAACGUGAUUUUGCGGUUUUGACCGAGAAAAAUGUAAUUUUAAGGAAAAUUGCGUUUGCAGUUUUGGCGAAAAACACGAUUUUAUGGUUUUGAUGGAGAAAAUACAAUUUUACGGGAAAAAUAUGAUUUUUCGGUUUUGGCGAAAACUCGAUUUUAUGAUUUUGGUAAGACAAAUUAAAAUUGUACUUUUUUCCUAAUUUUCUAAACCUAGAUAUUUUAGCUAUUUGGGCUGUCCAGUGUCCAGAUGGUCAAAACCGCAAAAUCACGUUUUCCGGAAACCGAAAGUCAUAUUUUUCACCAAAAUCACAAAAAUCUCAAAAUCAAAUUUUCUUGUAAAAAUUCAAAUUGCAAAAUAAUAAAGUUUAAGUCUAUAAUAUAUAUGAAAUUUAGUAUAUUUCCAUCUUUUACAAUAAAAAUUAACUUAUUUAUAUUAAAUGGGCAUCUGGACGGCAUGGACAACCCAACUGAUCAUGGUUUUUUUUUGGUAUGGUCUUAUUUGGACAUGGUCCUAUUUAGGUGUCGACCAAAACUGUCCAGCAAAAAGACACGUCCAUAUGGACACGCCCAAAUAGGCCCAACCCGCCCAUUUGACAUCUCUACCUACGAAGCUACCUUUUGUCUCAAGAAUCCUGUUUACGGUUGCAUGAGCCAUAGCUUCUCCGCAGAAGAAGAUGCUUGAGCUUCAACAUGAUAUAGCCCUUGCUCGCUCUAGACUACUUGUCCAUUAUUUGCCAAGUGAUUUCACACAUGUUUUCUUUACAAUCAUUUUCACUAAAAAAAUAUGACAUGACAUACUAAAAUUGAUGAUAUGAUGUAUGGUUAAAAGUGACAUAGACAACUACAUUUAAUGUUAAUUUUAAUUUUUGUUAACUUUUGAUAAUAUGGUAAUAAUUCAUAAAUCAUCAUUAAAAUAAAUAUAUUCAAAUAUUUCAUUAAAAAUACGAUAAGAAAGAUAUAAAAUAUUUUUAAAAUUUCGAAAUAUUAUUUAAAUAUAUUUUUAUAAUCAUAAGAGUUUUAUUAUUAAAUAAUAUUUUCAAAAUUUUAUACAACCUUUUUAAAAAAAAUUAAAUUUUUAAUUGUAAUAUUCAUUUGUUUAUUUUUGAUAUCUACAAAUUUUAGAAAUUCUUUUAGUUUAAUAUUUUGAUAAUUAUAAAAAAUUUAUAUCAAUUUUACUUUACACAAGUUAAUUUAAUAUAUCUUAACCAAAAUAAAUAAAUGAAAUAUAUCUAAAUUAUAAUUUUAAAUAUAACUUAAAUCUAAUUUUAAAUAAAUCAGAAUAUUUAUUUUAUCUUAAUUCUAUAAAGGGUCUCGUAAACGUUAGUUUAAUCCAAAAGACUUCGUAAAUACUUUUAUGGGAAAUUUGCCAAAUAUGACUCAUAACUUGAUUUCAAACACAAAGGUAAACCCAAACUUGAAUCAAAUGCAAAAGUAACCUAAAAGACUAUUGAAAUUACAACCAGCCCCUUGUGAACAAACAAAAAAACCGAUUUGUUUUUACUUUUCUAACCCCCGUAAGUCGCCUGGAAUAUUUUUUAAGUGAAAAAUUGAAAUCAUGUAAUUAACAUAUGUUUUAAGAGAUAUAAAUUAAGUUAUAACAAAAUUUAAUUGUUUUCAACAUAGUUGAGUGAAAGUAGUGAGUCAUGAUAUUCUUUGGUUUAGGUUUUGCCAAAAUAUGUUGUAGUAUUGUAUGUGUUCUUAUGGUUAGAUUUUGGAAUGCAUAAAUGUUUUUUUGAAAACUUUAAAAUUUACCUAAGUGUGUUUAUUUCUGUGUAUAGUAAACACUAUUUAAGUAUAACUACGGCUUAAUAACGUGGUUAGUUAGUUAAUUUAGUCAAUUUAGUUUAGGGGUUAAAUUUAGGGUCUGAGAAGUAAGUCGUCUGAUGUACAAUAUUCAACAGACGACUUACUAGUAAGUCGUCCAAACCGGACCGAACCUUUAAUUUUACAAUGUACUUUUAAACCUAACCGAAUUAUUUACCGGCCAUAUAUAAGGUGUUUUUUUUUAUUCACUGUUUCGCGAAAAUCAGAAAACCCUAACGCCGUUUCUCUCAAAGGCGAUUUCGAAGGCGAUUUUUGUCGAUUCUCUCUAAUCCAUCGUUCUCACCGCCGGUUAUCUCUCCGCCGUUAUCACCGUCGUUCUCACCACCGUUCUCACAGCCGCUUCCUCUAUUUAAGAUCCGAGAGGAAACCCUAGCGCGCAUUCUCUCAGAGGCGUCUCGUUGAACUCCGCCGCGGGUAAAUUAUAUCUCUUACUGUCGAGUGAUUGAUUGAGGAAAAGAUGAACAUAAAACUGGAAGUCUUGGAAGACUUAUAAUUAAGUCGUCUGCAGGAAGACUUUCCAGGCGACUUAAUUAUAAGUCUUUCAGCUGGAAAACUUGCGAGACGACUUAAUUAUAAGUCUUUGAUUGUUUGAGAUGGUUGUCUUUGAUUGUUUUGCAGACAAAAAAAAUGGAAAUGCCAGAACUCCCCCGUAGGAUAUAUAUAUUAGGGGAAGAGCCCCCAGCAGUGCAUAACAUUUCGUAUCAUACUUGUUGGACGUUGCAUGCUGCUUUAAAGAAAGCUCUUCAUGAUGACGAAUAUGAAGAGCUAAAGGAGUCGAAGUUGGGAGUUUUCAUCAAGUUCCAAGAGCUGGGAUUUGAUCGGGCUUCAAGGCUGGUUCACUACAUGCUCAGUUUCCAGCUGGACAUAAAGAAGAAGUAUGAGCUGUGGAGUCUCGUUGGUCCACAACCUGUGAGGUUUUCACUGUUAGAGUUUGAAAACCUCACUGGUCUAAACUGCGAGUACAUCGAGGUCCUUGAGAGACCUCACUGUGUUGUUACAAAGGAGUUGACUUCUUUUUGGGAGAUGUUGGGAGUUCAUGUCGAAGCUGAGCCAUCUACUCAGGAGAUAAUAGCAACAUUUGAGAGAUGCGAAGGGUGGUCUCGGGAUGAUCGCAAGCGGCUCGCGUACCUUGCCAUCUUCACUGGAUACAUUGAAGGGAGAAAGUAUUCAACCCCUACACGGGUUAGUCCGGCAAGGCUAGUGAUGGAGCUAGAACAGUUUGAGAAUUAUCCAUUGGGGAGAGUCGCGUUUAAAGUGCUGAUGGACUUUGUGAAGGGCAGAGAUAUUUCGGGUUGUUACACUAUUAAUGGGUUUUCACAAGCUCUCCAGGUCUGGGUGUACACAACUCUUCCGGAAUUGGGUGAUACUUAUGGUAAUCCUCUCCCAAACAAUCCGUCUCCCCGAUACUGGCUUACAAGGGUCGCAAAGGACGCAUACAGUUUAAAGAGGCUAUCCUCAGUCAGGUAUUUACUUCAAUCUGGACGACUUCACAGAAGACUUAUAAUUAAGUCGUCUGAUAAGUCUUUCAACUGGACGACUUAGUAGAAGAUUUGUAAUUAAGUCGUCUGGAAAGUCUUCCAGCUGGAAGACUUUCCAGACAACUUAAUUAUAAGUUGUCUACUAAGUCGUCCAACUGGAAGACUUUCCAGAUGACUUAAUUAUAAGUCGUCUGCGAAGUCUUUUCUUUCCAUCUUUCUUACAACUGGAAGACUUUCCAGACGACUUAAUUAUAAGCCGUCUGCGAAGUCUUUUCUUUCCUUCUUUCUUUAUCCGUCAAAUAUCUAAGUUCAUAUCUUCUAUUUACUGCAGACUAGGGUGAUCAACUUUGUUCAGAAGGACAUUGGUCAAAUGUUUCCAAAAUGGGAGCUUGAUGUUGAGGACACGCCCGCGGAAAACAUAAUUGAACUCAUGUUUGUGAAGAAACCGUGGAAGUGGACCAUAGAUUACUGGGAAGUCACCGGUACUUGGGUCAAUACAAAGUCGGCGGUCGUGAGUCCAGCGAAGAAAAAGGUAGUGAAGGAAGACAAUCCAAGACCUCGGAAGAAAGCUCGUAAAGAGGCACCUGCAGAAGCUAGUGAAGAGGCAGCUGCAGAGGCUGGUGAAGAGGCAGCUGCAGAGGCUAGUGAAGAGGUGACUACGACUGUUGGUGGGUUGACCAAAGAGGAUAUUAAAACCAUGUUCAAGGACAUAGCUGAUGCCAUGAGGGAAGGGUUUGAGACGUGUCUUAAGGAGAUCAAGUAUCUGUCGGAAAGGGUGGAAGCUGUGGAGAAGAAGGUUGGUAUCACCACAAAACGGAAAAGGACAUCAUCUCAAAACACUACCUCUCCACCUAAACCGACGCUCAAACCCGGGGUUAGUAACAAAUCCUCUCCCAACAAGAGAUUGACUAGACAAAGUCUUAAGAAUAAGAACUGAAAAGUUGCAUUUGCUUUGUUUCUUGUAUGUCAGAACAUGUGUGCUUUGUUUAUAGUGUAUGGAUUUUAUAUAUGUAUUUUGUUUCAUGUUUGAAGACACUCAUUGGUUAUUAUUGUUUGAAAUGAAUCUUUGGUUAUUAUUGUAUAAACUCAUCUUGUAUAUUGCAGAGUGAAAGUGUUAAUGGGACGAACGCGGGAAGGAAGAGCUUGGCGGAGGAUAAAGGUCCAAACGUGCCCGCAGCUGUGCCCGCAGAUGCUAGUUCCUCGAAAGAUAAAACUCCAGAACCGAGCCUUGUUCUAUUGGACAAAAAUCAACCCACAAUUUCGGAUUUACAGAAGGAGGAUGCUAGAUAUCAGGAAAAGGGGGAUGCUGCUUUCGCACUUUGCCGUGCAAGCUGGACAUAAAGAAGAAGUAUGAGCUGUGGAGUCUCGUUGGUCCACAACCUGUGAGGUUUUCACUAUUAGAGUUUGAAAACCUCACUGGUCUAAACUGCGAGUACAUCAAGGACCUUGAGAGACCUCACUGUGUUGUUACAAAGGAGUUGACUUCUUUUUGGGAGAUGUUGGGAGUUCAUGUCGAAGCUGGGCCUUCUACUCAGGAGAUAAUAGCAGCAUUUGAGAGAUGCGAAGGGUGGUCUCGGGAUGAUCGCAAGCGGCUCGCGUACCUUGCCAUCUUCACUGGAUACAUUGAAGGGAGAAAGUAUUCAACCCCUACACGGGUUAGCUUGGCAAGGCUAGUGAUGGAGCUAGAACGGUUUGAGAAUUAUCCAUUGGGGAGAGUCGCGUUUAAGGUGCUGAUGGACUCUGUGAAGGGCAGAGAUAUUUCGGGUUGUUACACUAUUAAUGGGUUUGUGCAAGCUCUCCAGGUCUGUGUACACAGCUCUUCCGGAAUUGGGUGCUACUUAUGGUAAUCCUCUCCCAAACAAUCCGUCUCCACCGAUACUGGCUUACAAGGGUCGCAAAGGAGGCAUACAGUUUAAAGAGGCUAUCAUCAGUCAGGUAUUUACUUCAAUCUGGACGACUUUGCAGAAGACUUAUAAUUAAGUCGUCUGAUAAGUCUUCCAACUGGACGACUUAGUAGAAGACUUAUAAUUAAGUCGUCUGGAAAGUCUUCCAGCUGGAUGACUUAGUAGAAGACUUAUAAUUAAGUCGUCUGGGAAGACUAUCCAGACUACUUAAUUAUAAGUCUUCUACUAAGUCUUCCAGCAGGAAAACUUUCCAGACGACUUAAUUAUAAGUCGUCUACUAAGUCGUCCAACUGGAAGACUUUCCAGACGACUUAAUUAUAAGUCGUCUACUAAGUCGUCCAACUGGAAGACUUUCCAGACGACUUAAUUAUAAGCCGUCUGCGAAGUCUUUUCUUUCCUUCUUUCUUUAUCCGUCAAAUAUCUAAGUUCAUAUCUUCUAUUUACUGCAGACUAGGGUGAUCAACUUUGUUCAGAAGGACAUUGGUCAAAUGUUUCCAAAAAGGGAGUUUGAUGUUGAGGACAUGCCCGCGGAGAACAUAAUUAAACUCAUGUUUGUGAAGAAACCGUGGAAGUGGACCAUGGAUUGCUGGAAAGUCACCGGUACUUGGGUCAGUACAAAAUCGGCGGUUGUGAGUCCAGCGAAGAAAAAAGUAGUGAAGGAAGACAAUCCAAGACCUCAAAAGAAAGCUCGUAAAGAGGCACCUGCAGAGGCUAGUGAAGAGGCAGCUGCAAAGGCUAGUGAAGAGGUGACUAUGACUGUCGGUGGGUUGACCAAAGAGGAUAUUAAAACCAUGUUCAAGGACAUAGCUGAUGCCAUGAGGGAAGGGUUUGAGACGUGUCUUAAGGAGAUCAAGUAUCUGUCGGAAAUGGUGGAAGCUGUGGAGAAGAAGGUUGGUAUCACCACAAAACGGAAAGGGACAUCAUCUCAAAACACUACCUCUCCACCUAAACCGACGCUCAAACCCGGGGUUAGUAACGAAUCCUCUCCCAACAAGAGAUUGACUAGACAAAGUCUUAAGAAUAAGAACUGAAAAGUUGCAUUUGCUUUGUUUCUUGUAUGUCAGAACAUGUGUGCUUUGUUUAUAGUGUAUGGAUUUUAUAUAUGUAUUUUGUUUCAUGUUUCAAGACACUCAUUGGUUAUUAUUGUUUGAAAUGGAUCUUUGGUUUUUAUUGUAUAAACCCAUCUUGUAUAUUGCAGAGUGAAAGUGUUAAUGGGACGAACGCGAGAAGGAAGAGCUUGGCGGAGGAUAAAGGUCCAGAUGUGCCCUCAGCUGUGCCCGCAGAUGCUAGUUCCUCGAAAGAUAAAACUCCAGAACCGAGCCUUGUUCUAUUGGACAAAAAACAACCCACUGUUUCGGAUUUACAGAAGGAGGAUGCUAGAUAUCAGGAAAAGAGGGAUGCUGCUUUCACACAUUGCCGUGCAAAGAGUGAUCGAACAAGGAAACUUGAUGCCUCACAGCAAUCUCCUUAUACGGCAAACUGCACGGCCAGAGUGAUCAUUCCAAACAAAAAGCUUUAUCCAGGCUAUAAUCCUUUUGCACCAAUUGACAAGAAGAAGUUGAAGGAGCUCGCUGAUUGGUUGAAAACUUUUCCGUAAGUGUUUGCUUUUCCCAUGAUAGCUUGCUUUUCCCAUAAUAGCUUGCUUUAGUCUACAAAAACUGAUUGCUUUUCAACAUUUUGUGUUUGCAGUCAUUAUAGAACACAUCUCGAUAAAAAACCACGAAAAAGUAGAACUUGGUGGUAUCAAAUCCCCCGAACCUCCUUAGAUUGGCUGGAGGACUGUGUAAGUCUUCUGCUAUGACUUAGAUGACUUACUGAUUAGUCUUCUUUGUAGACGACUUUCCAAUAAGUCAUCUGGUAAGUCGUCUACGUACACGACUUACCAGACGACUUAAUUCGUCCAUGAAUUACUUGUAAGUCGUCUACGUAGAAGACUUACCAGUAAGUCGUCUGAUAUCUUCUGAUUUGUACCCUAUUUUAUAUGCAGCAUAUUGAUGCUUGGAUUAAUGUGUUGAGGAAGAGGUACAACGCUAACCAACAUCAUUUCAGGAGCGAGAGAAUGUGCUUCCUUGAUCAUCUCUUUGCUCAGCAAUGGAGAUUCAACUUCAAGGAUUUUAAGGACUCGAAGCCCGAUCAGAACGGUUUAGGAAGAAGACUCCCUGGUGGGGUGGAAUUAUUAUGCAGGCACUAUACCAUCAUUUUGCCAAUCAAACAAGGUUUGGGGGACGAAUAUUGAUGAUAUCUAUGUGCCAGUGAACUAUGCCGACACUCAUUGGAUUGCUAUGUGGAUAUUGAUCCCUAAGAGGCACAUAGUCGUCUUUGACAACAUUUGUUCCAGUAUCUCCCCAGAAGAACUUGAUGUGGUAAUGGAGCAUUUUCUCUACAUGGUCCCUUAUCUGCUUGUUGAGUGCGUUUCCUCAGACGAACUACGUGCCCAAUACAGCCUGGAGCCAUUCACAUAUGAGAGACCGACCAAUAUACCUCCGGCCCGAGCUGGUGAUUGUGGUGUGUACACUCUAAAGUACAUUGAAUGUCAUGCUCUUGGGAUAGAGUUUAGUAAAAAAGACUUUGCUAAGGCCAACGGGAAGACUAUGAGGGAUAAGAUGGCGGUUGAUAUAUUUCAAGAGCUUCCUGAUGCGCAUGAGUUCGAAAACAAGGACAAUGAUGCCAACCUGGGUGUGUAUGAGGGGUGAUAAAUAGGCUACGUUAGAUUAUUUUGUAUGAUAGAUUAGGCUGAUGUGUGUAUUUGAACUUGAUUGCUAUUUUGUAUUUGAACUUGAUCCCUAUUUUGUAACUAUAUUCUGCGCAGAAGACUUACAGUUAAGUCGUCUAGAAUGUUGGACGACUUAACUAUAAGUAGUCUGGAAAAUCUUCUGAGCAGUGACCUUUUGUAACUAUAUUUCGGAUAAUAUAAAGGGCAAGACCAUCUCAAAUUUGUUUGGUAGUGCAAUUUGACAAAGAAGUUGACACAGAUAAGUUCAUAACACAAAAUUUUAAUAUAUAGACUAAACACUGGACGACUAACUGGAUGACCUUCUGGACGACUUAAUUGAAGGUCUUCGGGAAGACUAAACACUAGACGACUAACUUGAAGGUCUUCUGGAAGAAAAAACCCUGGACGACUAACUGGACGACCUUCUGGACGACUUAAUUGAAGGUCUUCUGGAAGACUAAACACUGGACGAAUAACUUGAAGGUCUUCUGGAAGAAAAAACCCUGGACGACUAACUAGACGACCUUCUGGACGACUUAAUUGAAGGUCUUCUGGAAGACUAAACACUGGACGACUUACUUGAAGGUCUUCUGGAAGAAAAAACCCUGAACGACUAACUGGAUGACCUUCUGGACGACUUAAUUGAAGGUCUUCUGGAAGACUAAACACUGGACGACUUACAUUGUGGUUUCGUAUGGCCAGUUCCUUGCAUUUUGAGCAUCUAUAAACCCUGUGUUGCUUCCGGGGUUUGCGUCCUCUCAUCCUGGAUAGCUCCAACCAAGAUUGCCAUCUUGAUUUCUUCUGUCUUCCCAGACCACGCUUUACAUCCGGAGGAAAGCAUGUGCGUUCCUCAACUUGUUGUCCAACACAAGCAUAUAUAUUCUCUGAGUAUCCUGCAAACAGAAAAUCCUUUGAGUACACUGGACAUACAAGUGUGGAGAUAUGCAAACCAGCAGAUGUUCCAGCAGCUAUAGCAUGAGAGCAAGGUAUUUUUUCCACUGCAUAGACACCACAAUCACACUUUCCAUGUUCCAAAUCAACCACACAGUCCAUUUUGCCACUUUUCACAAAGAAUCACCAUCCAUCAAUUGGUUGUACCGUCAUCAUAUCCGCUAUCUCCGAUCGAACAACAAGCAAGUAUUCAACACCUCGACUAUGUUGAGUUGGGAGACUCAAAGCAUCUUCUCUCCUUUUCCAAAACCACUUUCCUAGCUUCUCCCUUAUGAACUCCAACAGGAACUGAACCGGAAAUCCUUUAGCUCGCUUCAGAGCAGAAUUAAUAGAUUCAACGAUGUUGCUUGUCUUUAUGUUGUACCUGUCCCCCUGACAAUAAACCCUUGACCAUAGGCUGACGUCGGCACUCUCCAAAUACGUUGCAAGGUCCGGGUUUGCACUCCGUAUCUCAGCCAUGUACCGGUCAAAAUCUGAAACCGUAUGAGCAUAAGCAACACCUUUCACCAAGUACAAGAGAUGUUUCCCUUUAUACUUUUUGACAAUGUUCUCUUGAAGGUGAUAAUAACAUAUUCCUCGGGUUGCCCAAGGAAACACCUUAUCACACGCACUUUUAAUGGCCGCGUGCCGGUUGGAGACUAUCACCAGAGGCUGCUCAUCAGAUACACAACAAGCCAAUUUUGUGAAAAAUCAUUCCCAAGAAGGUUCAUCUUCAGCAUCUAUGAUCCCAAAAGCCAAUGGAAAUAUCUGAAAAUUCUCAUCUUGUACGGCUGCAACCAACAUAACACCUCCAUACUUCCCACUUAGGUGAGUCCCAUCCACCACAAUGACCAUUCUUUGAUACUUAAAACCUUUGAUAGAAGCUCUAAAAGAGAAAUAUAUACUUAAAUCUAUUGAUAGGAUCAAGUUCUAUAGCCGUGAUAGAAUCGGGAUUUGCUAAGGAGAUUAGCUCGAGAUAUGAUGGCAGACGCGAAUACCCAUCUUCUGCUGAUCCUCUCACCAAUGUUUGUGCAUAUAAAAGUGCUCUGUAUGAAGUGGUGUAAUCACGCGUCAUGCCAAACAUGUUCUUCAUUGCAUCAGUGAUAUGCUGCGGAUUCAACCCAUCAAUGAUUCCAACACGAUCAAUGAAAAGCCUACCAACAUACUUCAGAGUACAGUGUCUCCGCUGAGCGAAUCGGUCUCCCACUGAGCAUGUAUGUUUUUCCACAUACUUUGUUACCCAAAACGUGUUUGUCCCAUGUUUCACACUCGCUCUGACUUUCCACUGACAACCACUAACCGGACAUGUUGUCACAAGGAGAGUUUUCGUUGACUUGUAUAUUCUGAAGGAGAACCCAAACCUCACUGCUGUCAACCGCAGCUCUGAAAUCAGUGCAUCCUUGCUAACAAAACUCUAAUUGACAUAGAUAGUGUUACCAUUCGAUCUUCCUCCUUCAAUCUUUUUGAUAUCUUCAAAACACAUAUCAUCAUCUUCCUCAUCCUCAUCUUCAACCUUUCCAUAAACACUGUAAUCCUAACCAUUCUCGUCCGUUUCAGCAACAAUAGAGAUACCAACAUCCUCCUCCCCAUCGUCCUCCUCCCCAUCAUCCUCCUCCCCAUCAUGAUUUUCAUCUUCAACCAAAUCAUCAUCAUCAUCAUCAUCAUCUUCAAAACAUUCAUCAGCUUCAUCAUCUUCUUCCCUGAACUAUGAAACCGUUUCCACCUUGCUACGGCUUGAUACACAAAGCUGUACUCCAUGUGUUUUGGUUAUCUCGAGCAAGUUUCGAACUUUUCUAUCACUUGUAACAUGAAUAGGAGGGGUGUCUGGAGCCUGCAUCAUUUCUGCUGAUAAUGAGUAGUAGGUUAUCUCCACAGAUUCUGUGCUCAUGUCCAGGUUAUAAUCUUCUUGAGCCAUUGCAAGAAGUUCAACAUGUGUCGACAUGCUCCUUCCCCAAAAAAAAUGAUUCUCGCUCCUUUGACAUUAUCAACCACAAAAUUCCAACGGCAGUCUUUCAACAACCAUUCUCCAUACACUGCAUGUAACUGACGCAUCAUCUACAAAAAUUAAAAAUAAAACACAUUAGUAAACAUAGAGAAAAUGAAAGUUUACUAAACAUUGACGCAGACGACAUACCAGUAAGUCGUCUGGAAGACUUACCAGUAAGUCGUCCAAACAGGUCAUUUUUGAAAUUGAAUUUUAAAUAGGACGAUUUACAAGUAAGUCGUCCAGUUUUGUUUGUUAAAAAAAACCCCUAUUUUAUUAAACGGGUUAGUUUUGCAUUUGACUGAAUUGUGUCAGAUAUUUGACUUUUUCUGGACGACUUACCAGUAAGUCGUCUCCGGGAAAACAAAAAUUUCAAUAUUUUAUUAAAGCUAGACAACUUAUUUGUAAGUCUUCUCAGGUUAGUUUGCAAUUCGAAAAAGAAACUUAAAUAUUUUAGUUUACCCAGACGACUUACUUGAAAGUCGUCCAGGCAGACAACGUACGAGAAAGUCGUCCGAGAUAAGCAAGGUUUGACCAUAAUCUAGGAAAUAAAUCUGGACGACUUUGCUUAUCCUGGACGACUUUCAAGUAAGUCGUCUUACUUGACGACUUCCGCAUAAGUCGUCUGGGAAAAGUUAAAUAUUUAAGUUUUAUUUUCCAAUUGCAAAAGUAACUUGAGACGACUUACAGAUAACUCGUCCAUCUUUUAUAAAAUAUUGAAAAUUUUGUUUUCUCGGAGACGACUUACUGGUAAGUCGUCCAGGAAAAAUCAAAUAUCUGACACAAUUCGGUCAAAUGCAAAACUAACUCGUUUAUCCUAGACGACUUAUCAGUAAGUCGUCUAGGGUAUUGUCUAGGAUUUUUUUUAACAAACAAAGAUCACGACUAAAAAUUAAGUCGUCCGUUUGACCAGAAGACUUACCCGUAAGUCUUCUACAGCCAGACUACUUACGGGUAAGUCCUCUACACAAACAGAUCUAGAAAGAAUUUCAAUUUCAUACCUUAAACUAGUGAGAUGACUUCCUUAUCACACAGAGUCUUCUCCAACCACCCAGAAUCUCAAACGAAAGUAACCCACCAAGAAUAGUAUGCUUGAAUGACUUUAUCAACCAUAAAAAAAAUUUGAAUCAAAAGCUUGAGUUUUUUGGAUGAAUAUGGAAGCAAAGUGAAAGAGAUGUUAUUUUUAGUUCAUAACAAGUGAGAAAGAGAGAGUGUAAAUCGAUUUUAGGUGCAUUAAGAACUUGAAAUUGGUUGUUCAUGGUGGUUGGGGUAUUGAUGACAAUGACAAUCUUGUAAUUACUUGAAAAUGAUGAGGGUGAGAGAGUAAAAAUGUCAUUUUCGGAAAAAAUAAAUAAAAAAAUUUGAUGGGGUGAAUAGGACAAAAAAAAUCUAAGAAAAGCAUGAGUUAGUUUUAGGUUUGACUUUAAGUUUUGAGUCAAUUUGAAAAAAAAACCCUACUUUUAUUUGGUUCGGUCGUGUGGACAAUUAUUUUUUGAAAAUUCAUUUAAUUAUUAGUGUAGGGGACCAAUAUGUGUGGAAACUUGACUAUUCGACACAAAGAUAUUGCUUUUGAUGUGAUGAAUAUUUGAUUUUUCACCAUGGAUUUUUCUCCGUGGAUUUUUCUUUGUGGAAUAAAUACACAGUCUGUUAUUAUGUAUAUAAACAGAUGGACAUGGAAGCAAUGUUACUCAUCACCAAUUUUCUUUUUGUUAUUGCUCUUUCAAUUUUGAUAUUCAGGAAUGAAAGGUUUUCGGAGCUUAACGAGUACCAGUUUUCUUACUCUUUUUAUACUUUUCUUAUUCGGUUACAAUUCUGAGGUAGCGUCUACGGUUCCUACUAGACACUUGUGUCGUCCGGAACAAAGGAAUGCACUUCUCCAGUUGAAGAACGAGUUUGAGGUUUUGAACUCUUCCUUGACUUAUAAUUGUAUUAUCAAUGAUGAAAUAGUAGACCCUCAUCCAAAGACGGAGUCAUGGGGGAAUUACAGCGAUUGCUGUACUUGGGAGGGUAUCACCUGCAAUGCCAAGUCUGGUGAAGUGAUCGAGCUGAACCUUGGUUGCAGCAACCUACGUGGCCAGUUUCAUUCCAAUAGCAGUCUUCAAAACCUUCAUUCUCUAACCACUCUAGUCCUUUCAGGAAAUCUUUUUAAUGGUCAAAUCAUGUCUUCAAUUGGAAACAUUUCUCAUCUCACCUCUCUGGACCUUUCUCAAAAUAAUUUCAGCGAGUUCAAUCCUUCUUCAAUAGUAGACCUUUCUUAUCUCACUUUUCUAGAUCUUUCUCGUAAUCGUUUUUCGGGUCAGAUUCCAUCUUCCAUUAGGAAUCUCUCUCCUCUCACCUAUCUUGACAUUUCUGGUAAUCAAAUUUCGGGUCAGAUUCCAUCUUGGAUUGGAAACCUUUAUAAGCUCACUCAUCUUGACCUUUCUUUGAACAAUCUUGUUGGUGAAAUCCCACCUUCUAUUGGUAAUCUAAACCAGCUGACCACCUUAAGUGUUUAUCGGAAUAAGCUAAAUGGAAGCUUGCCCAAUGCACUACUGAAUUUGACAGAGUUGUCAAAUUUAGAACUCAACUUCAAUCACUUCACAGGCACAUUUCUUCCUAACGUCACUUCACUAUCCAAAUUGACGCAUUUGGAAGCAGCUACCAACAUGUUCACUGGAACCCUGCCUUCAUCUCUCUUCACCCUUCCUUCUAUUGAUACUGUUAUUCUGUCUGAUAACCAAUUCAAUGGUAUUCUUGAGCUUGGGAAUAUAUCUUUACCCUCUAAGCUACGAGUGUUAGAUGUUGGCAACAACAACUUGAGAGGGCCAAUCCCGGCCACGUUAUCCAAAUUUACCAACCUUGACCGACUUGUCCUUUCUUAUUACAAGACACAAGGUCCAGUUGAUUUUAGUAUCUUUUCGCAUCUCAAAAAGAUGGAAGAUCUUGACAUAUCCUAUUUGAACACGACCACCACGAUUGAAUUGAAUGAUUUCUUGUCACAUUUCAAGAGGCUCCGUUGGGUGGUUCUCUCAGGCAACCAUGUUUCUGUCACAGAUAAGAGUCCAGUUUCAGAUCCCCCUUUGCGAUUGAUGUAUAAGUUGUACUUGUCAGGCUGCGGUAUCACCGAGUUUCCUAAGUUUGCAACAGCGGAAAAUAUGUCGAGUCUAGACAUUUCCAAAAAUAAAAUCAAAGGAAAAGUGCCGGGCUGGUUAUGGACGACGCUACCGAAUCUGGAUUAUCUAAAUCUUUCCAACAACUCUUUCACCGGCUUCGAAAACUCAACGAAACAUGGGCUAUCUAUGACAAACUUCUUAGCAUCCAACAACAAUUUCAGUGGAAAUAUUCCAUCUUUCAUAUGCGAUUGGCGCGGUCUUGCCACUCUUGAUUUAUCGAACAACAACUUUAAUGGUUCAAUCCCUCGUUGUAUGGGAAAUCUCAAGAGUUCUCUUUUAGAUCUAAACCUUCGUCAAAAUCGUCUUAACGGAGGUCUUCCUGAGAAUAUAUAUGAAAGCUUAAGAACGCUUGACAUCGGUCAUAACCAACUGACGGGAAAGCUUCCAAGAUCAUUGAUCCGUUUCUCUAGUCUUGAAGUUCUGAACGUGGAAAGCAACAUUAUCAAUGACGUGUUCCCGUCUUGGUUGAGUUCUCUACCGGAGCUUAGAGUUCUUUUAUUAAGCUCAAAUGCCUUCCAUGGACCAAUACCUCAAACUUCGUUCCCUAAGUUACAAAUCAUAGACAUAUCGCACAAUCACUUCAAUGGAGCUUUGCCAUCAGACUACUUUGUUAAGUGGAGUGCUAUGUCAUCACUUGUGACAGAUUAUGAUCUGGACCAAAAGUACAUGAGAGAUUUCUAUUACUAUAAUUCAAUAGUUUUGAUGAAUAAAGGCUUCGAGUUGGAGCUACAACGUAUCUCACAAGUCUUCGCAGCACUCGACUUUUCAGGAAACAAAUUUGAAGGAGAGAUCCCAAGGUCCAUCGGUCUAUUGAAAGAGCUUCAUGUUCUCAACUUGUCCAACAAUGCUUUCACCGGCCAUAUCCCAUCGUCUCUGGGAAACCUGACGGCUCUUGAGUCACUGGACGUUUCCCAAAACCAGCUGUCAGGAGAAAUUCCGCAAGAGCUAGGGGAACUCUCGUUUCUUUCCUACAUGAACUUCUCUCAUAACCAGCUUGCAGGUCUAGUACCUGGAGGCACUCAGUUUCGAAGGCUGAAUUGCAGUUCGUUCGAGGAUAACAUGGGACUUUUUGGCCCUUCUCUAGACGAAAUUUGCAGAGAUAUUCACACGUCAACAGUGACGCAACAGUAUGAAAUGCCGGAAUCAGAGGAUGUAGAAGAGAUGUUGAGUUGGACAGCAGCUUUAAUAGGAGUCUUACCUGGUAUUGCCUUUGGAUGGGUUAUUGGAUACAUACUUGUUCCUUACAAACCAGAGUGGUUCAUGAAACUCUUUUUUCUACGUAGACGCAGACACCACAACUCAUUAAAGAGGUAAUGUUCCGAGUUUUGAACCAAUUUGUUAACAAACAUUUGAAAAAAACAAAAAUAUAUUAGUUAAAAACCUUUUUGUUGUACAGGUUUUUCGUAACAUACGUGAAGAAUCUGAAAGAAGAAAUUUAAAGCAACCACUAUGUAUGAAUCCAGAUUAGCUAGCAUUAGGGGUAUCGUUUCCGGUUUAGUUUGGUGUGUUUUCCCAUUACUCCUUUAUAUAACUUUGUUUGAAAGAUUGUUUGUUUCUCUGUUAUUGUUUCCGGUAUAGUUUGGUGUGUUUUCUCUCUCUGCCUCUCUAUUUUAUUUUUUACUUUUAGCCAACUUCUUUGUGUCUCUGUAAUUGAACAACUAUGUUCCUUACGUCAUCUAAAUAUCAACGGUAUAGACGUGAUCAGAGCAACAAACAUAUGACCAAGAUCAACGCUAUAAGCAGCACGUGACUUUGGAAAAAGGAUAUACAAACUUUUUUUUGGUUAGAGGAUAUACAUACUAUAUAUGGAUAUUUCGAUUGUUCAUGUCAAUGAAACAUAUGAAUACAUAGAAACUCUAGACCUUUCAAAUAUUUGUAUCAAAAGAAUCCAUUUGCUAUCAAAAGGUUCAAGAUAUCGAGAAUCUUUGGAUUAGUUAAGUUGUUAUUAGAGCAUCUCCAAUAUAAAACGCCAUUUUUUCCUCCAAAAUGGGUACCCAUUUUAAGAUUGUUAGGCUUUUUGAAAGUUUUUUUGACAAAACAAAACAAAAGGAAAACAAGUUUUGCAUUGAAGUCAUGCCAAAGAAGUUGCAUGAAUUUUUUUUUUUUUUGAUAACCGAGUGUCCUGGUCCCACCGUGGUGGUCCAGACUAGAGACCGAGUCCGUAGCAGGUUCAACACCCAGACAAUGGUCUUCGGUCUCGGGCGCCAGAGCAAGUCCGCAUGUGAAUUCCCUGGUGGCCAGUGGAAAUCGAACCCGGGUCCGUAUUGGGACCGAAGCUCCCUCAAGACCACUAGGCUAACCCCGCUGGUCAAGUUGCAUGAAUUAAAUCUAGCAAAAACUAGCAGUGAUAAUCAUUGAUCUAGGUUCUUACCUUUAGAUAAAAUUACUGGUUAUAACAAAAAGAAAAGCUCAAAUCUGAUGCCUAUCACACCCUUCACCAAGAACAAACGAGGAAUCUGGGUGGAAAAAUAAACUUACAAGAAUAACAAAGAGAUCACAAUCUUUAUGCUUAUUGUGACCACUGUUAAUAAAAGGAAAAUGACAAAGCUUCUCCUAGAAUUUAACACAACAAAGGAUUCCAUGCGAUUGCUGGAAAAAUCUUGUCGGAUAAAAACAUGACGAUUAUUUACAUGGUUUCUCUGUCCAAAAAAAUAUAAACAGAACUAAAUCUAUAAAAUAUCUUUCAAAUCAUUUAGCAUCACUCUGAAACACUAUGCAGCCUAAAAUUGUACUGUUUUUUCUAUACACCUAAUUUUCAUGUCUUUCAUUGGUUUUGAGCUAAUUCACCCAAAGAGAGAACUUACUUUGAUCUGACAUUACAAAAAGAUAUGAGUACAUGAAGUAAGAUCUAACCAAAUCUUUUUACAUGAUUUUGCCUAUCAAAAACGUAGAGUUAAUUUUGGAGGAAUAGGAGCAGGAGAGUCGCAAUUAAUUAUGCACAGUCUAUUGGUACGUAGUUAAUUAUGAGAAAGUUCUUUGGUAGGAACACUAAUUUCUCAUUAAAAUUUGGGUUUAACGAUCAUCUUCCAAUUUAUAACAAAAUUCCUCUUGGAUCAACCUAUAUUUUAAUUUCCUUGAUUGUCUUUUUAAAGUCUUGCUUCCCUUUUGUUUAAUGUCCACAAUCAACAAAAAGAGACAUCCAACUGAUUGGUUAUUUAAGUCUCUCUCUGGUACGUUAUCCUUUGAAUUUUCAACAUUAUACUUUGCAUUUUCUCUCCUUAUUUCCCCUCAAGGACCCCAUAACUUUCUCCAAACUCCAUAAAGUAUUUGGAGCCCGCAACGUCAGUAAGCUUCUCAGUGAGGUCCUUGAAGAACAGAGACAAGAAACCGAUAACUCGUUUGUCUUAUGAGACUGACGUUCGUCUCAAGGAUCCAGUUUACGGUUGCAUUGUAGCCAAUAGCUUCUCUGCAGAAGAAGAUGCUUGAGCUUGAACAUGAUAUAGCCCUUGCUCGCUCUCGACUACUUGGCCAUUCUGGAGUUAACAACAACAAAGCUGCAGUCUACUCUGAUGCCGUUCUCUGAGUUUUGAUCACGAGGAGAAGGGAGAUGCAUUGUAUGGUGAAUUUAAUUCAAGCUCAGGCAGCUAUGCUCGUAGCAAGCUUUUCGUGCAAGCUAUGAAUUGAAGCAUGUAAUUUCCAUGUCCUGGAGUCUUCACUUGAAAACAAUGAUAUUUUUUCUCAUAUAUGCUAUGGUUUUUUAUCUAUGCGUACGUGCUACGGAAGCGAAUAAUGACGUCAUCUUAUUUUCAUAUGCUAUAUUUAUUUUUAUUUUAAUUUCCAUGUGCUGGAGGGAGAGCUUCUUCGCGCCUAUUUCUCACGAAGAACGCUCCUCACCUCAUUCCCUCUCUCCCUCAUCAUGCCCAAAUCCAACGACGGCGGCGCAGAUUCCGAGUCCGAGUCCGAGUCCGUCCCGCUGCUCGAUCUAUCGAAACCGUCAUCACCGAUCUCCUUCCCGAUCAAAUCUCUCCAAUAUUUAAAAUCACGUUCGUACUUCGACUCUUUCCACUUUCAGUUCAAUCGCUCCACAGUCCCUCUCCGGCGAGACUUACCUGAUCGGCCAAGGGUUUUAGUCUGCCACGAUAUGAAAGGAGGGUACGUAGACGACAAGUGGAUCCAAGGGUGUGAAAACGACGCCGGGUUUGCUAUUUGGCAUUGGUUUUUGAUGGAUGUGUUUGUUUACUUCUCUCACUCUCUGGUGACGAUUCCUCCUCCUUGCUGGACCAAUACAGCUCACAGGCAUGGCGUUAAGGUGAAGAUUAGGCAUUCUUGUGGAUACAUUAGUUUAUUAGGAUGUGUAGAUAUGAAUUGGGGUUAAGUAUUUACUUUCUUGUGUAUCUAUGGAAAUGUUAAAAAGGUGUUGGGGACUUUCAUCACGGAAUGGGAUGAAGGAAAAGCUACCUGCAAUGAGAUGCUUGCCACUAAGGAGUCUGCUCAGAUGUAUGCUGAGCGUUUGGCUGAGCUUGCUACUUCUCUAGGUUUCGAUGGAUGGCUGGUGAGUUUUGUCUUUUGGUAGAUACUUCUUGAUUCUUCUGUUCAUCUGCGUUUGAAGUGUAAGCUCUUACCUGCAGAUAAAUAUAGAGAACGAAAUAGAUAAAGAACAGGUUCCUAAUUUGAUGGAGUUCGUCAGCCAUCUAACAAAAGUCUUGCAUUUAUCCACUCCUGGGUCUUUGGUUAUAUGGUAAGUUGUGCACAAGUUCUUUCUUUUGGUAAAACCACUUUGAAUCUGAUCACUUCUUUUUGCAGGUACGAUAGUGUCACUGCUCAUGGCCAUCUUAAAUGGCAAGAUCAUUUGAAUGAAAAGAACAAACCUUUCUUUGACUUGUGUGAUGGUAUCUUCAUGAACUAUACAUGGAAGGUACCGUUCAAUUUCUUCAGUUUGUGUUUCUUCUAUAUGCAUUUGCCUGGUAUUUGAGUGGGUGAUGGUAUUUCAGGAGAGCUACCCAAAAUUAUCAGCUGAAGUUGCCGGGGACAGAAAAUAUGAUGUUUACAUGGGAAUUGAUGUCUUCGGUCGCGGCUCCUUUGGUGGUGGUCAAUGGACUGUAUGUUUUCAGAAACUCUUGUGAAAACCAACCAAUAAUUUUUCAUAUUAUUCUUCUUCAUUGUCUCAUUAAUAUCUAUAUAUAUGCUAGGUUGAUACUGCUCUUGAUUUGCUGAAGAGAAACAAUGUAUCAGCGGCCAUCUUCGCUCCUGGAUGGGUAUAUGAGACUGCACAACCACCUAAUUUCCACACAGCUCAGAAUAAGUAAUACUCUUCUUUUGCCUGUUUGAUUGUCAAAGAAAUUUUGCCAUUUUCUUUGUCAUCUUAUUAUCGUUCAUGCUUUUUUUCUUCAGGUGGUGGUCACUUGUUGAGAAGUCAUGGGGAAUAGUCCAAACAUAUCCACAAGUGUUGCCAUUUUACUCGGAUUUCAAUCAGGUCAAGUGAGAUUGAUUUCAACUUUCUUCCCAUCUUGUUAGAAUAACACCAGGGUAAAGUAUGCAUCGACUGUCUUGCCUAUGAUUUAUGUUCUGAAAAACUCUGUUCUUGCUUAUCCAGGGCUUUGGUAACCAUGUAUCACUCGAGGGUCGCCAGUUAUCUGAUGCUCCAUGGUACAACAUUUCUUGCCAGAGUCUUCAGGUUCAACCAUCUUUAUUGUCCACUCUUUAACUCCACAUAUAAUAUUUACACGAACCAAAAACUUAUUUUCUUGAUCUGGGUUUGUCUCUCCUCUCAUCUGAUUGUUGUGUUAUUCACGUCAGCCACUCCUCGAGUUCAAGGAAGACAACACUGAUAUCAUUCAGGUCACUAUUGAGUGAGUUCUGGCCCCUGAUACUAAAAAAAAUGUUUUUAACUUCUUGUUGAUUUAGAUACAUUUGUUUGCAAACGGAUAACGGUGAGCACAUGACUUUGUUUAGUACUAGAGAUGCAUCUUAUAACGGAGGAGGGAACAUCGUUUUUAAAGGAAGACUCGAGGGAGAUGUGUAUUUCACAGCAAGGCUCUUUAAACCUCUCCUUCAUCUUUCUUCUUCCCCCAUCACAGUCUCCUACUCUGUAAGUCCCUUGCUUUUAGAUACAUCACAUUAUGAGAUGAUCUUGUUUCUCUUCCUAAUGGAUGAUUUUGGAUUUGGUGCAGGUGAAAUCAGAUGAGACUUUUAAACUUGGACUCCUGCUUUCUUUCUCGUCCGCAUCACACGGGACUAAAUCCAUACUUGUGGCGCCACAAGAACCCAUCCCUAGAUUAGAUCACAUGUUCUUGAAGUGCCUCGUUACAUCAGAGCAGACUGUAUCAGAGUGGACGGUACACGAGACAAGCCUUGUCAUGGAUGAACACACACUAACUGAAAUCUCUUUCUUUUGCUACAGAACAGAGAACUCGACGAAGGCAUCAGAGUACGUUGCAUUGCUCGGUCACAUUUCAAUCAAAGAUCAUGUUCAGCUCCUCCAGCAAAACUUCGUUUCCUUACCUCCAGCAUCAUCAUGGGUCAUCGAGGCUCAUAACAUAGAGCUCAUGGUAGAUUCGGACGUGAAAGGGGUCAGCUUCGUGGUGCAACCGUGUGGUGAAGAUGGGUUAUGGAGAAAGCUUGAUGAUUCCCCUAACCUUCUUGUGGACUUGGAGGGUCUCUCGUAGGUUGCUGGAAACAAUGAAACGAUUCAUAAUGUAUAUUACAAAAUUACAUUAAUCUAGAAAGUGGGGAAAACAUGAUAAAAAAAACCUGAACUGAUAACAGAUCAUCAUCGUACAACUUCUUAAAAAUAUAAUUAAUGUACAUUAAUUUCCUUGUAUUUUAUAAUUAUAAAGAGAUCUUUUCCUUGUGCUAUACCGCAUACAAAUUUUUGUGCUAUACGGUAUUAUCUUCGUUUUGUUGUUAUGCCGUAUAUCACAAGCAUUUGAAAAGAUUUUAGGUGUCCAUCAAAGAUUGUCCCCUUGAGGAACUUAACUAUUCUAAACACAGAGCCAAAUCUGGGUUCUGCAAUGCUGGCACAAGUUCAGUGUUCAACGAACUAAGCCAUUAAUACAGUGUUCAAUCAACCUGCCUUUUAACUGAAAAUUCGAGUAGGCUUGAGCAGCAAUUCAUCGCCUGUAUGCUAAAGAGAUGUGAUGAUGAUAGAGAUAUUGAUACUGCGGUGAUUGCUUGCGGAUCUCUCAUUUGAUUUGCCACUGAGAUGGUUAAGAGAGAGGGAGACCACGUGCAUGCAUGUGUUUGCAUGCACGGGGAAUAUGGCAAAGCUAUCAGAGAAUUGAGUUCAUAAACUUGACUGCUCCAAAGUUAUUGGAGACGUUUAGAACAUCAGUUGGUGCUGGGAUCGUCUUACCAACUAGUCUCUUCCUAGUCGUCUCUUUUCUGUAUAUUUUAUUGGAUGAAAAGUGAGAUGAUUAUCAACAAAACUUGUUAUUAAGGUGGUGAGAAGUAACAGAUGUGUGAUUCACCAAUUUGAUUACAUCCACAGACAAAAAAAGACUUUAUUAUUGGAGACGACUUUCAGAAUUAAAUUAGAGUUAUAAGAACACAAGAUAUUUAUAGAACAUCUCUAAUCUUCAAAAAAAAAUCUUAGUGUACAUCAGACUCAUGGGUUUAGGUCUCAUAAUCGAUACAAUUUCCAAUGAUGUAAUGCAUUUAAUGCAUAUCAACAAAACCAUUGUUUAAUGGAGAUUCGCAAGAAGAAGUCUCCUGACAUCACCUUCCUGAUGGAAUCAAAAAACACAGAGGAAACAAUUAGAAAAGAACUCCACUGGCUGAAAGAAGAAAACAACUUCAUAGUUCCCCCACAUCUGGAGGUGGAGGCUUGAUUCUCAGUUGGAAGAAAGAUGUAGAUUUAACAGUCCUAUCAUCCUCCCAAAACUACAUAGACACGAGGAUCAUCUCAAAGGGAAAAUCAUUCCUAGCUACCUUUGUUUAUGGUGAACCAGACCACACAAAGAGAAAUGCAUUUUGGUCUACUCUAUCCUCUCUACACCCAAAACCGAAAGGCCCAUGGUUCCUAACUGGAGACUUCAACGAACUAAUCGACAAUACUGAGAAGAAAGGAGGCCCAAUAAGAGCGGAAGGUACCUUUUUGGAGCUUUUCGAACCUUCCUCUCAGAGAAUGAUCUGUUUGAUCUUAAACACUCUUGUAAUCUCUUCUCAUGGAGAGGUAAAAGAGGAGAUCACCUAGUGCGAUGCCGCCUUGACAGAUCCCUCAGCAACCCUGAAUGGACAGAGCUCUUCCCUUCUUGCCGUUGCCAAUACCUCAAGUUUGAAGCUUCUGAUCAUCGUCCAAUCCUCUCCUACCUAGACACCACCAAGAAGAAAGGUCGCAAUCUAUUUCGCUAUGACAGACGACUCAAAGAUUGUAAAGAGAUAAAAGCACUAGUAACAGAGAUUUGGACAACCUGUGCAUAUCUUGGGGUAGAAGCAAGACUGGCUCUAUGUAGAAGAGCAAUCUACAAGUGGUGUAAGCUGUUCCAUGAGAACAGCAGAAAAACAAUUGAGAAUCUCAGAGAGGAUCUAGAAUUUCAGAUGACAAGUGAGACUCCUAAUGGUGACAGGAUUAUAGAGAUAAAUAAGGGCUUCUUAAAAGCAUAUCAAUCCGAAGAAGCCUAUUGGAAACAAAGGAGUCGCCAACUCUGACUAACCUUAGGAGAUUCAAAUUCAGGGUAUUUUCAUGCCGUCACAAAAGCUAGAAAAGCAAAAAACAGAGUAACUGUCCUAGAGAAAGAUGAUGGAAUACCUCUUUUCGAAGAAGAUCAAAUUUCGGCUCGGUCUGCUCUUAUUACAACAAGAUGUUCACAGCAAAUCCCAGAGACGAUAAUGAGGACACAAUCUUCCGUGCUCUCAAACCUUGCGUGGCGCCAUAGUGGAAUGAAUCUCUCACCAGACACCCGUCCCCAGCAGAAAUUAAAGAUGCUCUCUUUGCAAUCCACGCAGACAAAGCACCUGGCCCAGACGACUUCUUCGCGAGCUUCUUCCACUUUAACUGGGACGUAAUUGGCCCCUCCAUUAUAGAAGAGAUCCAACGCUUCUUCUCCACAGGAAUUAUGCCCCCUAGUUUAAAUGAGACUCAUGUCAGACUUAUUCCUAAGAUCCAAACUGCAAAGAGAGUAGAAGAGUACAUACCUAUCGCCUUGUGUAACGUAUACUAUAAAGUGAUCUCCAAACUUCUCUUCCUGCACCUGAAACCAGUCCUUAAAGAGAUCAUCUCAGAGAACCAAUCUGCUUUUAUCCCUGGAAGAGCAAUAACAGACAACGUGUUAAUUACUCAUGAAGUGCUGCAGUAUCUGAAAACCUCACAAGCACAAAAACAAUGCUCAAUGGCGGUUAAAAUGGACAUGUCUAAAGCCUAUGACCGUGUUGAAUGGGAUUUCGUUGCACAAGUAAUGUCAAGACUAGGUUUUAGCAACAAGUGGACCAAUUGGGUAAUGCAAUGUAUCACAACAGUUUCCUACUCGUUCCUAAUAAAUGAUUCAGUCUACGGGAAAGUGCAACCUCACCGUGGCAUUAGGCAAGGAGACCCGAUCUCGCCCUAUCUGUUCAUCCUGUGUGGUGAAAUUCUUUCAGGCCUUUACAGAACAGCAGAGCUUCACGGAUCUAUGAGAGGAAUUCGCGUGGCCAGAGGUAGUCCCCACGUCAAUCAUCUUCUCUUCGCAGAUGAUACUAUGAUGUUCUGCAAUUUAUCAUCUGAAAGCUGCCUCUCUCUGCUCCAAAUCCUACAAGAAUACGAGAAAGUUUCAGGUCAAAAGGUCAAUAUAUCCAAAUCCUCUAUUACUUUCUCUGUCAAAACCCCACAAGAGGUUAAGAACUCAGCAAAACUCAUCUUGGGCAUUGAGAAAGAAGGAGGAGUGGGAAAAUAUUUAGGGCUUCCAGAACAUUUUGGAAGGAGGAAGAGGAACUUGUUUACCUCUAUAGUAGAUAGGAUCAGGCAGAGAGCCUCCAACUGGUCGACUCGAUUCCUAUCUCGAGCUGGCAAGCUCACUAUGCUCAAGCCUGUCCUGACUGCAAUACCCACCUACACCAUGUCAUGCUUCCAACUCCAGUAAGCCUCUGCAAUAGAAUCAAAUCUACACUUACUCGGUUCUGGUGGGAUCAUUCAGCAGAAAAGAAAAGCAUGUGUUGGGUGGCCCUGGACAAAUUAACCAAGCCAAAAGCCUCAGGGGGUUUAGGACCGAGAGAUAUUCAAUUAUUCAACCAAGCACUUUUGGGAAAAGUUGCCUGGAGAAUAUUAACCUCCCCCAACUGUUUACUUGCACGUGUUCUUACCGGGAAAUACUGCCAUAAGAAGAGCUUCCUAGACGCCCAACUCCCAGCAGUGUGUUCACAUGGUUGGAGGAGCAUCCUACAUGGCAGGGACCUACUCAAGGAGAACCUGAGAAAAGCAAUCGGCAACGGUCAGAAUACAAAAGUCUGGAAAGACACAUGGAUAUCAUUGGACAACAGUUCUAAGCCUAUGGGUCCAAUUCAUGAAUCUGCUCUCGAUAUGAGAGUCUCAGAUCUUCCCACUGAUGACUUACAAUGGAAAAAGGCGAGAAUUGAGCAAUACUUACCAGAUUUCAGCUCGCAGAUCCAAUGUAUAAAGCCAAGCAAGGUAGGGGCAGAGGACAUUUAUGUCUGACUCCCUCUUCAAACAUGAAUUUACUCAACCAAGUCUGGCUAUAACUCGCAUGCUCAACAAACUGUACCGUCGAAUCUCCACCUUCUAGCUAACCCCUCCUCACAGAAUGACCUGGAGUUUAAUUGGUUAAAAGAUGUUUGGUCAGCAAAAACGAACCCAAAGCUUAAGAUAUUCCUCUGGUCAAUCAUACAAGGGGCCUUACCAAUAGGCGCAAAGCUCAAAAGAAGGGGAAUGAUCUCCGCAGCUCACUGCCCCCGCUGCAACGAGGUAGAAACAUCAAUGCACACAUUCUUCCUCUGCCCCUUUGCUAAAGAAGUCUGGAACUACAUACCUCUCAAGUCACCAGUUCACAUAGCUGAGGACACUGAUUUCAGAUUGGAACUACUUCACUUCCGACAAGCAAUCUGUCUUCCCCCAACAGGAAUUCGAUCUCCCAUCCUCCCCUGGGUCUGCUGGUUCCUCUGGACGGCCAGAAACAAACUUAUUUUUGAAGACAAGAGCAGCCGUCCUGUGGAGAUAGCAACUAGAGGACUGUCAGCGGCUUUAGAAUGGGACGAAGCUCAAGAUGUGGAGAAAGAACAAAAGAGUAAUCACCUACCGCUCAAGGCCGCUCCAACACAGACGGAUCGAUCAAGCUACGAAAAUCCCUGCUUCGUAGACGCCGCGUGGGAUGUUUCCUCAAAGCAAGCAGGAGUCAUUUGAUGCAUACUCCUAUCAAGUAUCAACAAAACCAUCCAUACAUCUUUUGUUUUGCUUUUGUUAAAAAGACAGAAUAGCUACUGGCCAUAUAUUGAAGAAACAAGAAAACGAUCGAGCAAAGUCUGGGUUUUUCCUUACGAUCUCGCCCUGACUCCUGAGGAAUAUUAGUUGAAUAUUUAAUGUACUCACUAUCUAUGAUAGGCUCGAUCGUGAGUAUAUUCACGAGGAAGAGUUGAUUCUUCUGUCAUGAGGAAUGCUCUCACUAUUAUUUGAUUUCAAGAAGAUUGAUAUUUUGUUUAUUUUGAUUGAUUCUUAGAAAAGAGUUGAUUCUUUUUGUCAUGUUUGCAUAUAUUUCUCAUUUUGGAAGUCAUAAGGAAUAAACCAAAAAUAAGACUGUUCGCCGUUGAUUUUUCUUAAAAACGUUGAUGUUUUUUUUUAUUCUUACUAAAAAGAUUCAUUCAAUUAAGUCAUUUUGGUCUAGUGGUAAAGAAGUGCCGCUAAAGCUUUCGCCAUGGAUUUUUUUUUUAUUAAGUCAUUUCGGACUUUUCUCUUGGUCUUGUCUCAAGCAAGUACCCGAGCUGUCUACGGGGUUAGGUGGCUUAACGUUAUAGAACCGUCUCUCAGCGAAGCCAUCCAGGAACAAAAUGGUGUGGCGAGAUCAUCUACAGAAGCGGAGUAUCGUGCAGUUGCAAACGCAACAUCAGAAAUUAUAUGGAUUUGCAGUCUUCUCUCUGAGCUUGGGGUCUCGCUUCCAUCAGCUCCAGUCGUCUUCUGCGACAAUGUAGGAGCAACAUUCCUCUGUGCUAAUCCGAUAUUCCAUUCUCGCAUGAAACACAUCGCCAUUGACUAUCACUUUGUUCGGGGACAAGUACAACGCGGAGCUCUAACUGUUUCACAUGUCAACACUCGUGAUCAGUUAGCGGAUGCAUUAACGAAACCACUCACUCGAGCUCGCUUCUUGGAACUGCGGAACAAGCUUGGCGUGGCACCCACGCUGCAGCUUGAGAGGGUGUGUAAGAGAGAUACUAUAAAGAUCUCCUCUCAACUAUAGUAUAUACACAUUCCUCUGUUUUAGGAAAUGUUAGUUAUUAUCUAACUUAGUCUCCAAGACUAAACUCUGUAUAUAAACCUCUAUUGUACAUUACGUUCAAGAUAUCAAAAUACAUUUCCUAUACCCUAAAUAAGAUAAGUAAACACACAAAAAAGAGCAUUGCUCUAACUUAAAACCUAGUGAGUAAGAAUAAUAACAGUUUUCUCCAAUUUCGAUGAUCUCUCAGAUCCAACCAUUGCUCCCUUGCUCAACCACAGUAUAGCUUCUCCACAAUCUAAUCCCUACAAAUUCUUAUCUGUACAGCAACAACAACAACGCACAAUUCACGUUUUCAGUAACUCAUUUGAGCAGAUGCUCAAAGUUAUGGUUCCAAAUCAACAAUCUGAGACCUCACAAGGUAACAUAGAGUUUCAAUCUUCAAAAUCACAUAAGAAUGAAAAUUCUAACCAUAUAUUCACAAUUGCUUGGCAGAAACAGAGACCAAGAAAGUUCCCAUCCUCUACUUCGCGCCUUCGAUCCUCUCGUACACCUCUCCCAACUUCAAAAUUGCUCUCACCAGCUCCGUACACGAAGAUCCUUCACCUUCACUCGGAUCCACCUCCUCCACUCUCCGAUGCUUCCUCACCACAAACCCGCAGUCACCAGCGUCAUCAUCAUUGUCUAAUGUAGGAAACCAAAUAUGCAAAAUCAAAUACUUACUUCUGUCCUUUGUAAAAGAAACUUAGAUUAACUCUAAAAGUAAGGCAAGUCUCAGUCUGCCUCAAAAUCAAUGUGACAUAGUCUGCUCCAAAUUUUGAAACUCUCUUCAAAUUUUUUUGCUUCCUGUAAUGUCUACCCGCUGUGUUGCUUUUUUGGCUGUAUAUGUAACAUGCAAGGCUUUUAGGAGCUUGUGAUGAACAGAGGAAAACAGUUAACAACCUUGUUGUUCAUUGGCAUUGUAAACAAUUUGUUGAACUCAUCAAAAGAUUCUUAAGCUCCACAAUUUGUUUAAUUUAGCUGGUUUCGUUGAUGUUCCUUCUCGUACGUACUUAUCGUACCUUCCAACAAGAUUUGUCUACACUUCUCUGUUUUUGAUCUUCAUCUGCUUUUAGACCUCUAGAGGUCCUGACAAAAUCUAUUGGCUGACUAAUAAUAAUCUUAUUGUAGCAGCAGUUAGUAUACUUAAGUUAGACAACGAUUCGAGUCUUGAAGAGCGAGGUCAUGCUGAGAAGUUUAUGGAGUACCAGGUAUAGUUUCAAGAAUCUUUGACGAAUAUUAUGCUCUUGAUGAUCUCUUACUCUUUGACGAAUCAGCUAUGGAGCUUGCCCUAUCUUUGGAGAAACUCACUAAUUAUGAAAAGCUUCUCAUGUUGCAAAGUGUAAGUACCUUUUAUUGCAUCAUCAUUGAGUGGUAAUGCUGAGCCUUACGCAAAACAAUCCACUACCAAUUAAAUUGGUAAAAACAGGGUCGAAGCUAUCAAAGAUUGUCUCCUUGAGUAGCCUCACGAAUUCUAAAACAGAGCAAAAACUGGGUUCUGCAAUAAACAUAUUGAUUCACCGAGUUUGGUUACAUCUACAGACAAAACAAAAUUAUUAUUGGAGACGAUUUUCAGAAUUAAAUUAGUUAUUAGAAUUAGUUAGAACACAAGAUAUAUAUAGAAUAUCUCUAAUCUUGAAAGAUCUUAGUGUGCAUCAGACUCAUGGGUUUAGGUCUCACAAUCGACACAACUUCCAAUGAUGUAAUGCAUUUGAUGCAUAUCAGCAAAACCAUCGAUCCAUCUUUUGUUUUAUUUUUGUUAUAAGAGAGAAUAGCUACUGGCCAUAUAUUGAAGAAACAAGAACACGAUCGAGCAAAGUCUGGGGUUUUCCUUACCAUCUCGCCCUGAGGAAUACUAGUUGAAUAAUGUACUCACGAUGAUAUGGCUCGAUCAUAAGUAGAUUCACGAGAAAGAGUUGGUUCUUCUGUCAUGAAGCAUGUACUCACUAUUUAUUUGAUUUCAAGCAGGUUAAUAUUUUGUUCAUUUUGAUUGAUUCUUAGAAAAUAUUUGAUUUUUUUUUUGUCAUGUUUGCAUAUAUUUCUCAUUAUGAAAGUUAUGAGGAAUAAACCAAAAAUAAGACUUUUCUCCGUUGAUUUUUCUUGAAAACGUUGAUGUUUGUUUUUAUUCUUAUUUUUUAAAAAGAGAUUCUUUCUUAUUUUGAAAUCCCAUCAAAAUUAAACUAGUUUAGCAGUUAUCUCAAUUAGUUCUUUUUUUAAUUAAAGCAAGAGGAAUGUCAUAAAAUCCUGAUUUUUUAAAAAGAUAAAACAUUUACUAUCAAAUCGAAAGAUUACAAUAUAUGCAAAUGCAGGGGUCUCGUAAACGUUAGUUUUUAGGUCAAUAUGCAUGCGCGUCUUGUAAACGUUAAUUUAACUCCAAACAUACACCUAAGCAAAAUAAGACUUCGUAAAUUACGUCUUCUAUGGUGUGGACAGUUUUUUUUUUUUAAAAAUACUUGUAAUUAGUAAAGGGGACCAAUAUGCGCGGAAAUUUGACCUAAUAGUUUUCUCUCUGGCCCGAUAAUCGAGGUGCCGUCUCAACCGUUUCACUCCGACGCCGGUAGAGCCAUGGCUCGCCGGCGUCGGGCGUUUCAACCUCCGCGUCGUCCUCUUUCUUUUCGUAUCUGUUCAAGCUCAAGAUCCCGUGCUCUGUUCACUGUUCAUAUGACCCUUUCUUGGUCGAAGUUGUCUUCCAUUUCGUAUUUUUCCGGGGGCUCCCGACUACAGUUUUCACUCCCCUCCUCUACUCAACGCCAUCAACGCCAUAGCUCUGCUGGUCCGGCUUCCGUCAAGAAUCAGAUCUGUGAGGCUCAAUCUUCCUCUCCUCCCUACGUGUCUCCUCGGCUAGAAAGCCCCCUCCGACAUUCGUCUUCCAUACCACCACAAGUCCAACUUCAAGCUUCGGCUUCCGACGUCUACAAACCCGGUGUCCGUGGGGCUCAACAAUUAACUCGGAUUUUAGAUCUGGAAUUUUGUCAGUUGUCUCGGUUGUGUUCACCUUAUGUCUCCUCUAUCACCACUGUCGCUGGACUUCCUACUCCGCUAUCCAUUGUCAUCAUCUCAACCAUAUCAGUUAAACAUCGCCGCUUCUUUGCUCCGCCGUGAUUCCUCGCAGUUCAUCGGGUUCUUUGACCGAGGAAGGCUGAGUCAUUGUGUUCAUGAGAUGGGCUACUUUCAUUUUGCAGUGAGCUUGACAAGCCCAAUAAAGCUCCAAGGCUCCCAUCUCUUCCUAGCAGUUUCACAGCCCACUUUGAUGUGGGGUGGAUUGGUCUCCUUGACUAAUCUUCUAAAAAUGUUUGGUGGAUUCACUAGCGUUUUUACAGAGACAUAUAUACACACAAAGUUUCAUCUCUCUUGUUCGAAGAGUAGCCUUUCUUUCCAUUUACCGGUGGGUUCACCGGGACCAUCAUGUUCAUCCUUUGCUUCCUUUUUAAGGAGUACUUUCCCUCCAAUCUUGUGGAGGUGUUUGUCCAUAUCUAUAACCGUCUUGCUAUCUUGUGGAGCGGUCCGUUCGGGGCCUGAAGAUGCAGCGGGAUUCGUUUCGACGAGUUUCCGAGGUGUGGAUUGGAUGUCAACUUCACAAUUUAAGCUGACUAUUUCUCUGCUGUCCGACCAUGUCGUGAAAGCUACACUGACGCAUUCAAGCACCGUCUUGAGUUCGCUGUCAUCUUCUUCUUUUGAAGACCUAUCCUUUUUAUCUUAUGUUGGUGUAGUUUAUCUUUUCAAUUAAAGCGGAUGGAUAAUUCCCUCUAUUAUUUGUAAUCAAGCAACUUGAACUUAAUGAAAAAGUUGUGUUUCGAAAAAAAAAGAACGAUUUUGCUUUCGACGUGAUGAAUAUUGGAUUUAUCUCUCUGGAUAUUUUUUGUGUGGAAUAAAAACGAAGUCUAUUAUUGCGCUAUAAAGAGAUGGGCAUAGAAGCAUGUUACUCAUCACCAAUUUCCCUUUUCAUUUCAAAGUUAAAUAAGCUUAAAGAAGAAUGAAAGGCUUUUGGAACAUAACGAGUACCAUUUCUCUUACUCUUUCUAUACUUUUCUUAUUCGGCUACAGUUAUGAGGACGUGUCUACGGUUCUUAAUACGCACUUGUGUCGUCCGGAACAAAGGGAUGCACUUCUCCAAUUCAAGACCGAGUUCGAGGUUCUAAACUCUUCCUUUGCUUAUGGUUGUUAUGAUAUCAAUGAUGAUAUACUAGUGUCUCAUGGGAAGACGGACUCAUGGGCGAAUAACAGCGACUGCUGUAAUUGGGAGGGUAUCACGUGCGAUGCCAAAUCCGGUGAAGUGAUCGAGCUAGACCUUAGUUGCAGCUACCUACGUGGCACGUUUCAUUCCAAUAGCAGUCUUCAAAGCCUUCAUUCUCUAACCACUCUAAACCUUUCACGUAAUGAUUUCAAUGGUCAAAUAAUGUCUUCAAUUGGAAACCUUUCUCAUAUCACCUCUCUCGACCUUUCACGUAAUCGUUUUUCGGGUCCACUUCCAUCUUCGAUUGGAAAUCUUUCUCAUCUCACCAAUCUUAACCUUCGUUUGAAUCAAAUUUCGGGCAAGAUUCCAUCUUCUAUUGGAAAUCUUUAUAACCUCACUUAUUGUUGGAAAUCUUUAUAACCUCAAAUUGAGCCUAUUGGACCUUUCUAGGAAUGAUAUUGUUGGAGAAAUCCCAUCUUCUUUUGGCAAUCUAAACCAGUUGACCAGCUUAGAUGUUUUUCUCAAUAGGCUCAAUGGAAGCUUUCCCAUUGCACUACUGAAUUUGACAAAUUUGUCAUCUUUAGAACUCAGCUACAAUCAGUUCACAGGAACAAUUCCUCAUAACAUCACUUCACUAUCCAAAUUGACGACCUUUGAUGCAAGUAACAACGCUUUCACUGGGACCCUGCCUUCUUCUCUCUUCACCAUUCCUUCUAUUGAAUAUGUUAUAUUGUCUGAUAACCAACUCAACGGUAUUCUUGAGCUUGGGAAUAUAUCUUCACCACCUAAGCUGCAAAGGUUAGACGUUAACAGAAACAACUUGAGAGGGCCAAUCCCGGCCACAAUAUCCAAAUUUACCAACCUUGUCGACCUUCGCCUUUCCCACUACAAUGCACAAGGUCCAGUUGACUUUAGUAUCUUCUCGCAUCUCAAGUGGCUCGAACUUCUUGACCUAUUCUAUUUGAACACGACCACUACGAUUGACUUGAAUGAUAUCUUGUCAUAGUUUAAGAGGCUCACUGGGCUGGUUCUCUCAGGCAACCAUGUUUCAGCCACAAACAAGAGUCCAGUUUCAGAUACCCCUUUGCGAUUCUUGAAUACGUUGCAUUUGUCAGGCUGUGGUAUCACCGAGAUUCCGGAAUUUGCAAGAACGCAAAAUAUGCCUGGCUGGUUAUGGACGCUACCAAAUCUGUUUUACCUGGAUCUUUCCAACAACACUUUCACUGGCUUCCAAAACUCAACUACAGUUUCACCUUCAAGGCUAUAUAGCAUAAACGUGCUUGCCUCAGACAACAAUUUCACGGGAAAUAUCCCCUCUUUCAUAUGCGAUUUGCCCACUUUAUACAUUCUUGAUUUAUCAAACAAUAACUUCAGUGGUUUAAUCCCUCGCUGUUUGGGAAAUCUCAAGCUUACUCUUGAAGUUCUAAACCUUCGUCAAAAUCGUCUUCAUGGAGGUCUUCCGGAGAAUAUAUUUGAAAGCUUAAUAACGCUUGACGUCGGUCAUAAUCAACUGACGGGAAAGCUUCCAAGAUCUUUGAUCCAUUCCCCUUUUCUUGAAGUUCUGAACGUGGAAAGCAACAUAAUCAAUGAUACGUUUCCGUUUUGGUUGAGUUCUCUACCACGUUUAACAAUUCUUGUGUUAAGCUCCAAUGCCUUCCAUGGACCGAUAUAUCACAUAAUUACUUCAAUGGAACUUUGUCAUCUGACUACUUUGAGAGGUGGGGUGCUAUGUCAUCACUUGAGUCUACAGUUUAUUAUGAUAAGUACGGAAAGUACAUGAGCGAUAAUUCUUACUUUGACUCAAUGGUUUUGAUGAAUAAAGGGUUAGUGAUGGAGCUACCAUUUAUCCCAAAAGUCUACACAGCACUCGAAUUUUCAGGAAACAAACUUGAAGGAGAGAUCCUAAGGUCCAUUGGUUUAUUGAAAGAGCUUCUUGUGCUCAACUUGUCGAACAAUGCUUUCACUGGCCACAUCCCUUCAACUCUGGGAAACCUGACAGCUCUUGAGUCAUUGGACGUUUCCCAAAACCAGCUUUCAGGAGAAAUUCCGCAAGAGCUAGGGGAACUCUCAUUCCUUUCUUACAUGAACUUCUCUCAUAACCAGCUUGCGGGUCUAGUACCAGGAGGCACUCAGUUUCGAAGGCUGAAUUGCACUUCCUUUGAGGGGAACCAGGGACUUUUUGGCCCUUCUCUUGACGAAAUUUGCAUAGAUAUUCACAUGCUGAGACCACAUGAAACGCCAGAAUCAGAGGAAGAAGAGGAAGAGGAGGUGUUGAGUUGGAUAGCAGCUGCAAUAGGAGUCAUACCUGGUAUUGCGUUUGGAUGGGUGAUUGGAUACAUACUUUUUUCCUACAAACCAGAGUGGUUCAUGAACCCUUUUGCCCGAAACAAGCGCAGAAUCAGCAGCACCACAACUCAUUAAAAAGGUAAUUUUCCAGAGGUUUAAAUCAACUUGUUAGCAAACACUGGUACAAAUAAAAAUAUUAUAGUGAAGUCACCUGAAUAAACCUUCUUCUUUUUGGUCUUUCAGGUCUUUUAUAAGCUACCUAAGGAAUCUGGAAGAAGAAAUCCAAAGGAACCAUUAUGUCUAUCCGUAUCAAAUAAGAUUUGGGGUAUCGUUUCUGGUUUAGCUUGGUGUUUUCUCAUUACUCUGUUUUUUUUCUUUUUUGUUUUUUUACUUUGUUCCUCUGGUACUGUUUCCGUUUUAGCUUGGCGCGUAUUUUCUCUACAUCUCUGUUUUUUACUUUUCAGCAAACUUCUUUUUUCUCUGUAAUUGAACAACUAUGUUUCUUACGCUAAAAAUUAUAUGCACAAUAAAAAAUGUGUAUCUUUUCCCCUUUCCUGCAUCUAACAUCAUCUGUAAAGACGUGAGAUGAGAAAAUAAACAGAAGAUCCAGAUCAACCCUAUAAACUAUUGAAGUUAAACUUGAUUUUGGGCUAUCCUUAAUUAUGGGUUUCAAUAAUCUUAUUUGGCUAAACCCAAAGUUAAGUUAAGGUUCUAGAAUCUCUUUAGAAAAAUCAUAAAAGAUUAUCACCUGCUCAAGUGUUCGCCUCGGUGUGUUGGAUCUCUCAGGAAACCAUGUUUCAGCCACAAACAAGAGUCCAGUUCCCGUUUCCCCUUUGUUGUAUCAGUUGCACUUGUCGGGCUGCGGUAUCACCAAGCUUCCGGAGUUUGUAAGAUUGAAAAAUUUGGACAGUCUAGACAUUUCCAACAAUAAAAUCAAAGGGCAAAUGCCUGGCUGGUUAUGGACGCUACCAAAUCUUACUUACCUGGAUCUUUCCAACAACACUUUCACUGGCUUCGGAAACUCAAUGAAACAUGGGCUAUCUAUGGGAAAAUUGUUUGCCUCCAACAACAAUUUCACAGGAAAUAUUCCCUCAUUCAUAUGCGAUCUGCGUGGUUUAUCCAUUCUUGAUUUAUCAAACAACAACUUCAGUGGUGUAAUCCCUCCUUGUAUGGAAAAUCUCUAUCUGACAGUUCUAAGCCUUCGUCAAAAUCGUCUCCAUGGAGGUCUUCCAGAGAAUAUAUGUCAAUUCUCAACAACGCUUGAUGUCGGUCAUAACAAACUGACAGGGAAGCUUCCAAAAUCUUUGAUCAAUUCCUCUUUUCUUGAAGUUCUGAACGUGGAAAGCAACAUUAUCAAUGAUACGUUUCCAUUUUGGUUGAGUUCUCUACCACAACUAAAAAUUCUUGUGUUACGCUCUAAUGCCUUCCAUGGACCGAUACAUUAUACUUCGUUCCCUAAAUUGCAAAUCGUCGACAUAUCCCACAAUCACUUCAAUGGAUCUUUGUCAUCAGACUACUUUGUGAAGUGGAGUGCUAUGUCAUCAUUGGGGGACAAUUAUGAUCAGCGGUUUGACAAGUACAUGGGGGAUUCCUAUUACCAUGAUUCAAUGGUGUUGAUGAACAAAGGUUUAGAGAUGGAGCUAGUACGUAUCCUAAAGAUCUACACAGCACUCGACUUUUCAGGAAACAAAUUUGAAGGAGAGAUCCCAAGGUCCAUUGGUCUAUUGAAAGAGCUCCAUGUGCUCAACUUGUCCAACAAUGCUUUCACCGGCCACAUCCCUUCAUCUAUGGGAAACCUGACGGCUCUUGAGUCACUAGACGUUUCCCAAAACCAGCUUUCAGGAGAAAUUCCGCUAGAGCUAGGGGAACUCUCAUUCCUUUCCUACAUGAACUUCUCUCAUAACAAGCUCACUGGUCUAGUACCCGGAAGCACUCAGUUUCGAAGGGUGAAUUGCACUUCCUUUGAGGAUAAUCCGGGACUUUUUGGCCCUUCUCUUGACGAAGUUUGCAGAGAUAUCCACAUGCCAACACCGCAUGAAACACCAGAAUCAGAGGAAGAAGAAGAGGAAGAGGUGUUGAGUUGGAUAGCAGCUGUAAUAGGAGUAAUAC